rnacentral:lncRNA from 1 species
UUUUUUUUUCAAAGUUCGUUCAAGCACUUACUGAAUAUGCCGCGUCGAAGCCGCUGAUUCUCCCUCGUGGAGUCCGAUAGCUGGCCACGAACAUCUUUAAGUUCGAUGUCCAGCCUGGUGUUGGCAUCCUGAAGAUCAUUCUUCUCUCGCCUCACCUUUGUCAACAUACUCUCACCGGCCUUUAGCCGGUGUAAGAGUUGUUGCUUUUCCGGAUCGAGUCCGGCGCCAUCUGCAACAUGAUUUGUCAGAUUUGCACCCACACCGCACAAUACUAAUCUUUCGAAGCGUAUCUUACCUGAGGGGGUCUCUUUGGGCUCCCCUACUGCGGCUAGUGCGGCCUCUAGUUGGGCCUUGCACUUUUCCAGCUCCUGGGAUAGUACAGUAUUCUUAUCUGUAAGAACCUGCUUAUUAAAUGAUCCUUAAAUCAGUUGCUCUAACUGUUUCAAGUCUCGGGGGCUACUGGUAUAUCUAUAUUUGACCAAAAUUUUCUUACCCGUAUGUCUUUUACAUACUGCUCCGUGGCUCUGGCUAAACCAUUUUGAGCGGCACGGAGGUACGCAUCUCCCAAAUUAAAGGCAUCUAAAGCCUCUUGGGAGAAACAAGUGUCGCGUAGAACUGUCCGGCGACGCCUGUGGUUCAUGGCACUCUCCACUUCAGAAUUUGUGGCAGACAGCCUGUCCGCAUCCUCUGUCGGAGGAGCGUCCGGUGCGCGCCUUGUGCUCGCCUCCGCUUCCUGGCCAGACGUUGGAGCCUGGCUGGUGGGGGCGCGAUUGGCAACCUCCCCGGAUGUAGUCCGGCGAGGUCUCUUCGUUUUGAAGAUAGCAGGAACGUUAAUAUGCCCUGACAGAAUAACACCAGGGAAACAGAGGGUGCACUAUACCUUUGCGUCGGCAUCUCAGUCCGGACUGCAUUCCUUUUUGCCCCACGGGGUCCUGCGGCCCCUCGUUGGCUAGCCGCCGCAGGUUCGGCCUCCUGCCUCGGAAAUCUCCCCUGCAAAACACGGUUGUCGUCAGAAACACCGGAAUACGUGAGAGUGGAAUCUCUCUCAAGGGAAUGAGACUCCGGUUUCUAUCACCUGGGAGGCCGGGAUUAACCUUGGGUAAUCAGCCGUGAUGGCUACCAAGGUAUUGUCCUUGCUUAGCUGAUGGAACACCCCGUCGAUAAGCUCCACCGAUAUGUCCGGGUCCUCUUCGGAGUCCGGAUCGAGGGACCGUUCUGGGUCCUCGGGCUGUGGAGGGCGGCUGUUUAUAUCCUUUACCUCCUGUCGCAGUUCCUGCACUGAAGUCGUUAGACUACAUAUCUAACCGUGGGAGUAUAAAACAGACGGGCAAGCGCAAUUAUUCACUUACCCAACUUGGAGGAUCGUACAUAGUAAAUCCGGCCUGCAGAUUGACGCGGAGGAAUUCCUCCUUUUCUCCCUUGUACAAAGAGGAUAAGAUCUUUACUAGGGCGGCAGCUGAGGCCGGCCCCUUACGACCGUAACGGGUGGCGUCAUCCUCCCCGUUGAAAUCCCGCAUGGGGUGGCCUCUAUAUUGAAGCGGCUGCACCCCUCGCAUAAUGCAUGCGGCCAUGACUCCAAUCAUGGUUAGUCCGGAAUGAGCCAACAGUCUUAUCCGGCCCAUCAGGUAAAGGACGUCUCUAUCGCAUUCUUUCUGAGAGCUCCAUGGACGCCAGCUCAAGCGUUUCUUCAAUGGGGCACUGUUGAACUCAGGGAGACUGACCCAGAUAGGGUCCGGUAGCGGGACGUCAUCUAUGUAAAACCAUUCCGAAGGCCAGUCCUCGGACGCCUUCUUUGGGGUUCCGGAUAGGUAUCCGGUCCCGGCGAUGCGCCAUACUUCGGCUCCGCCCACUUGGUAUAUAGACCCCUCUCGAGAACGGGGCACCAGGUAGAAUAACCUCUUCCACAGCACAAAAUGAGCCUCAACGCCUAAAAAUAGCUCGCAAAGGGCGACGAAACCCGCAAUAUGUAAUACGGAGGCGGGCGUGAGAUUGUGCAGCUGGAGGCCGUAGAACUCCAGAAGCCCGCGGAGAAAUGGAUGAAUUGGAAAUCCCAGUCCCCUUAUUAGAUAGGGGACGAGGCACACCCGCUCUCCUUUAGAAGGAUUGGGGGUGCUCUCCGCUUGUUUUCCGCCAUUGUAGGUGGUGAGACCGGCUCGGACCGGGACCAUGUAUGCCUGAGGGAGAAAUCCCUAGGCCUGAAGCGACACAACUCGCUGUGCGGGAUGGUGCAACUCUCCCAGUCCCCGGGUUUGGGACCGGACGGGCGAGGGGAGGAGCUGCGACGGCUGGUCAUGUUGGAAUGGACCUUUGCUGGAAGCGCUCUGAUGAUGACUCGCGGAAAGGAGAAGAUGUGGUUUGGACCUAAAUCCCCAUCCCGUUAAAUAAGCGGCUCGUUUAUACGGCUAGGGGUGUGGAUGUAAAAACACCCCGGCUUUUCGCAUUCGUUUGACACGUGGAAGACGGCCAUUAUUGGGCGUGCAAGCCGAGGAGCACUACAUUACAAAAAUCGGACAUUAUUCCUACAGGUACACAAGAUUUGGAGAAGAACCCGCCUUGCAAUGCCGAACAAUCUGCGCGCCGGACUCGUCAUCAUUGAAGCCUAGUUCGGGGGCUACUGAGGGAGUCCUGGAUUAGGGGGUGUUCGGGUAGCCGGACUAUACCUUCAGCCGGACUCCUGGACUAUGAAGAUACAAGAUUGAAGACUUCGUCCCGUGUCCGGAUGGGACUUUCCUUGGCGUGGAAGGCAAGCUUGGCGAUGCGGAUACUCAAGAUCUCCUACCAUUGUAACCGACUCUAUGUAACCCUAACCCUAUCCGGUGUCUAUAUAAACUGGAGGGUUGUAGUCCAUAGGCAAUCAACUCCAUAUACAACAAUCAUACCAUAGGCUAGCUUCUAGGGUUUAGCCUCCUUGAUCUUGUGGUAGAUCUACUCUUGUACUACCCAUAUCAUCAAUAUUAAUCAAGCAGGACAUAGGGUUUUACCUCCAUCAAGAGGGCUCGAACCUGGGUAAAACAUCAUGUUCCCUGCCUCCUGUUACCAUCCAGCCUAGACGCACAGUUCGGGACCCCCUACCCGAGAUCCGCCGGUUUUGACACCGACAGGGAGCAUCAUGGAAUUGGUGAUGGAGAAGGGUUGGUGAUGACGAAGAUCCCCCUCUCUGGAGCCGCAAACGGACUCCAGAUCUGGCCUCCCAAUGAAGAACAUGAGGUGGCGGUGGCUCCGUCUCGUGAAACAUGAUAAUUCUUUCUCCCUAAUUUUUCUCUCCAAAUAUGUGAAUUUAUAGUAUCAAGGUUGAAGUCUACGGGGCCACCAGGUGGGGACAACCCACCUGGGCGCGCCUGGAGGUGGGCACCCUGGUGGGUUCUGCCCACCCAGGUGCCCCCUCCGCUAAUUCUUGGCUCCAGAAAUUCUUAUUUAUUGAAUAAAAAAUCCUCGCAAAGUUUCAUUCCAAUUCGAGAACUUUUAUUUCUGCACAAAAACAACACCAUGGUAGUUUUGCUAAAAACAGCGUCAGUUCGGGUUAGUUUCAUUCAAAUCAUGCAAAUUAGAGUCCAAAACAAGAGGAAAAGCGUUAGGAAAAGUAGAUACAAUAGAGACGUGUCAACAGUCAAAUUCGGCAUAAUGUUCAUGCUUAUGUGGAUGAUAUUGUGGUCAAAUCUAGGAAGAAGGAGACUCUCCUGGAUGAUCUGAAAGAAACUUUUGAUAAUCUCCGGUUCUACAAGAUGAUGCUUAACCCAUCCAUGUGUGUCUUUGGUGUGCCUGCAGGCAAACUGUUGGGGUUUAUGGUGUCACAAAGGGGCAUUGAAUCUAACCAGGAGAAGAUCAAAGCUAUCACCUCCUUUGCUGAGCCGACAUGUGUCAAUGAUGUCCGGCGUCUGGCGGGUCGUAGUGCAGCUUUGAGCCGUUUUAUAAGUCGCCUAGGAGAGAAGGAAAUUCCUUUGUAUCAGAUGAUGAAGAAGAUGGAUCACUUCGUCUGGAGUAAUGCUGCUAAUGAGGCAUUUGAGGCGCUCAAGAAACAGCUAGUUGAGCUGCCCGUCCUUGUUGCUCCGGUUGAGGAAGAGCCUUUGCUCCUAUCUGUGGCGGCUAAUAGCAAGGCUUUCAGUGUGGCUAUAGUUGUGGAAUGCAAAGAGGCGGGUAAGCAAUUUCCUGUUCAACAGCCAGUUUAUUAUGUUAGUUAGGUGUUGAUUGAGUCCAAGCAACAAUAUCCCCAUUGGCAGAAAUUGGUGUAUGGGGUGUUCAUGGAAAGCCGCAAGUUGAAGCAAUAUUUUCUUGUUCAUCCUAUCACUGUGGUCAGUUCUGCUCCCUUAGGGGAUAUUAUCCAGAACAAAGAGGCUACCGCACGGGUUGCUAAAUGGGCAAUUGAACUUGGGCCUGAUAGUUUGAAAUAUGUGCCAAGAACAGCCAUUAAAUCUCAGGCUUUAGUGGAUUUCAAAAAUGACUGGACAAACUUACAGAUGCGUGAGGAGAAGCCCGACAACACCUAUUGGACAAUCCACUUUGAUGGGUCUAAGCAGUUGGAGGGCUCGGGGCUGGAGUUAUUUUAACUUCCCCACGAGGUGAUAAGUUUUGCUAUGUUUUGAGGUUAAUGUUUCCUUGUACUAACAAUGCAGCUGAAUAUGAGGCUUUACUCCAUGGCCUUCGUAUGGCCAAAGGAUGAUUUAAGCCGGAUUAGGUGCUUUGGCGAUUCAGACCUGGUGGCUCAGCAAGUCUCAGGCACUUGGGACUCUAAAGACCCGCUCAUGGCGGCUUAUCACCAAGCGGUUGAUAAUAUUGUUGGUCAUUUUAAAGGUUAUCAGGUGGAUCACCUUGAUCGAAGGAAGAACGAGGCGGCUGAUGCCUUAAGCCUCCUUGGUUCUCAAUGUAAGUCGGUGCCUCCUAAUGUGUUCCUAGAUGUGCUCCACAAUCCUUCUGUCAAGUUGCCAUCUGAAGGAGACCUUGUUAUUCCUGACCCGGAGGCACAGCUCGUGGCGGCUCUUCAUGUUAUUCCUGAUUGGACUUUGCCUUAUAUGGCUUAUAUGACCCGGGGCGAGUUACAUGAGGGUGAAAUUCUGGAAAGACAAAUGACCCGCCGGUCUAAGUCUAUGACCAUUGUCAAUGGCGAGUUACACCGAUGCAGUGUGACAGGCGUGUUUCAACGUUGUGUUUCUCCUGGGGAGGGCCGUGAGAUCUUACAAGAAAUUCAUGAAGGUGGUUGUGGUCAUCAUGUCGGCUCUAAAUCCUUGGUGGCUAAGGUGUUUCGUCAUGGAUUUUAUUGGUUGACAACUCAUGCUGAUUCACAGGACAUUGUCAGUAAGUGUGAUGGGUGUCAGAAAUUUGCAAGGCAGGCUCAUGUGCUAGAUCAAGAAUUGAGGAUGAUUCCAAUAACUUGGUCAUUUGCAGUCUGGGGUCUUGAUAUGGUUGGACCAUUCAAGAUAUCUACAGAUAAGAAGACCCACCUUUUGCUGGCGGUUGACAAGUUUACCAAGUGGGUUGAGGCAGAGCCGGUUAGCAAGUUUGAUGCAGCGACUGCGGUUUAGUUUGUUAAAAAAUUGAUCUUCCAUUUUGGUUACCCCCAUAGUAUCAUCAUUGAUAAUGGCACUAAUCUGUCUAAGGGUGCUAUGAAGGAGUUCUAUGAAAAAGAGCAUAUUCGGCUUGAUGUUUCUUCUGUGGCUCAUCCCCAGUCUAAUGGUCAGGCAUAAAGGGCUAACCAGGAAAUUUUGAAAGGCAUUAAGCCCUGGCUUAUGGUUCCUUUGGAACGAACGCCGAGUUGUUGGAUUGAGGAGUUACCUUUAGUGCUUUGGAGUAUCGAUACCACCCCCAACAGGUCAACAAGCUAUAUGCCUUUCUUCAUGGUUUAUGGUGCAGAGGCAGUUCUUCCAAGUGUUAUCCGUCAUGACUCACCUCAUGUGGCGGCUUACAUUGAAGUUGAUAAUGAGAUAGCACGUCAAAACACACUCGAUGCUUUGGAUGAGGAGUGUGACCUUGCGGCGGCUCAUUCAGCGAUAUAUCAACAAGAUCUACGUCGCUAUCAUAGUCGCAGAGUCAAGACAUGGGCAUUUCAAGAAGGCGAUUUAGUGCUCCGGUUGAUUCAAGACUAGACAAAUAUGCAUAAGUUGUCUCCACCUUGGGAAGGACCUUUUGUGAUUAGUAAGAACCUCAACAAUGGCUCGUAUUAUCUCAUUGAUAUACGUGAGAACAAGAAGUCACGCACCUCUGAGAAGGAGACCAACUUGAGCCACCGGCUCUCCCCAUUGUACAUACUUCUGGCGAUGUAUGUAUAUUUUAUGAUCAAUAUAAUAAAGCCGGCAUCCCUGAAAUAUUUAGGGCCUCUGUCGUUUCAUUUCUGUGUAUCUGAGUCUUUAUUAACUGAGUCACUUGAGGGCUUCCAACCAACUGAGGUUUAGAUUUCAUACCCUCUUGACCGGCGUGAGUUGCCAUAUUAUGAGUUAUACCUGCAUGUUUGCAACUUGCUACUCCGCCAGGUGACCCGUCGAACUCUUAACAGUCAAUCUUUUUUAAGACCCUAGACUUGUUAAGGUUAAAAUGGCGGCUUGUUUCAUGUGAGAGCCGGCUUACAGUGAGCAAGGAUAAACUCAACAGCUGCGCGGCCUUGAAAGCACAUGGCCAGUGAGCCAACUUGUUUGGUCAUGUUCUGGUAAACCGGCCAAACAAUUAUUUGAGAUUUUUUGUAUUUUCUCUUUUGAUUUCUUUGGAUUUGUUUCACCUAAGAUUUUGUUGUUGUGCAAAUUUUGACUAUAUGGGUCGUGAGGCUUCCAUUAGAUGGCUCAUGUUUGAGUAUUUUUGGGUUAUAACCCGCCCUGGCUUUGGACUUCAAGUCGCCAGCAUAUUUUGGUUUAAACAGUUGACGUCAUGAGGUUGUAAGUCUUGGGUUGUCACCCGCACUUGUUGUUCAUGUUUAAGCCACCAGCAUGUUUCGACUCUAUAGGGCAUGUAAAACUUCAAAUGAAAAGUGCUGGUAUGGCUCAUAUGUAUGAUCACAUUAGGUUUAUCAUAAAGAUUAAACUGGUGGGUCAAACAUCAAAGAUCAAGAUGCAUGAAGGCAUGUCAUGGCAUAUCAUUGUUUUAACUACCCUAUUACAAGGAUGUGUUCAUCCCAAAAAGGUUUAAAUCAAGUGUUUCGCGAGCUGCACUCCCCUAACCUGGCCUGAGAGCCGCCUGGAUCAUCAUUGUUAUGAUCAAUUCUCUUCCUGUCGCCUUGAAGAUUGCGGGUCCUCCUGUGCCGACUCUUCCUCGUCGAUCAUCUGAAGAUCAGCCUUGUCCACUCAAUGUCAUUUAAAGCGUCGAAUGUGGCUUUAUCGUUAAGUAUAAUUGAAUGGUCAACGUCAGGGGCGAAGAUAUGCUUACACCGAGGAGGAAUGAUAUUGACAACAUCAUGAGCCGGCGGCUUAAUCUUUUGAUUGUUUUCGUCAUAAGCCGGUGUGUACUUGCUUAAGUUUAGCUCUGCAACAAGAUUGCAAGCCACGGGCCGCAUCUCUCACACGCAUUGAUUGAAGUCUUUCUCUUCCAAUGGUGACUGGUCAUCUUUGAACUCCGGGCACCCAGGCUAUUUCCUCCAUGUCAAGCUCAGAUUGCCAUGCUUUGGCCCGACCAAGAGCAACGAUGGCUCCGACUGGGCGGUUGAUAAUUUUUGUUCUGCAAUCUGGCCUGGGAACAUUUACAAAUGAUCCAGAACAAUCUUGAUUUGACUCGGUGGUUUUCUGUUCCCUCCUAAGUCCAUAAGACUACGGAGGGUGCCAGAGUAUACUUGUUCUAUUAAAGAAUAAACCACCUUCAACUUCAAUAUCAUAUUCUGACCAAGAUUUGCAAUCCUGGGGCCUGUUAAGAAGUCAAUUAAGAGUCGCCAGACGAGCUAAGCAAUGCACAUAUGUGAUAUACUAGGCAAGUUACAGAAUUUGAAUUGCACUUUAUACUUACUGAAGAUGGCGGCUGCCAUAUGAGUCAUGUGUUGCUUUAAGCCGGAUAACUCUUCGGUUACCAGUUAAGUGUAGCUUCCGCAUCUUCGGCCCUUUUUGCUAGAGCAACCUUUUCAGUCUCCCAGGUGCCUCUCUCAGUAACAAAACUUGUUUUAAGUUUUUCAAUCUCUUCUAAUGAGGCCUUUAGAUCUAACUUGGCCUGGGAAGUUUCAGUCUGCUAUAGCUUUAAGCUUUUUCUUAAAUCGCCAACUUGCAAUUCCUUCAUGUUCAAUUCUGUCUGAAAUAAAUAAAGCAAUGGUUACAAUACAAGGAGCAAGUCUGGUAAGGCAUGGUUAGUCAAGUCCCAAGCACAUUGCAAGCAAUACACUUGGCACUUGGGGGCUAAUGUAGGUCGCUUAAAAAAAUUUGCGACCCAGCUCAUCUUAUUAAGUUAAAGUGGCCCUUGGGGGCUACAUAUUUGGAUUUCUGAAGAGACUAUAAGUCCCGGCUCAUCUUAUUAAGUUAAGCCAGCCCUUUGGGGCUACAUAUUUGGAUUUCUGAAGUGACGGUAAGUCCCGGCUCAUCUUAUUAAGUUAAGCCGGCCCUUGGGGGCUACAUAUUUGGAUCUUAGAGCUAAUUAUCAGUAUGGCUCAUCUUGUUACUAUGAAGUAAUGGUUGAAAAACUAUACAAGAUUGAUAUUUGAAGAUCCGGCUCAUCUUGAGAGCCGCCGCUAUGGGUCAGGCGUCUUGGCUCAUGUUGUUGUUUCUUCAAAAGAAAGCUGGGGUCCAAGUGAGCAGGAGGAUGAGAAAAUUUCACCUUCCGGACGACCCACCGAGUUAUCUUUCUUGGUAAAGGUUCUGAGUCGGAGGAGACAGGGAUUACCUCUGCAGCAUCGGCUUGGCUUGUCUCAGUGUCAUCCUGAGAAGAGGCGGCGUCAAUAAGUUGCAUAAAAAGGCGACCAAGGUAGUUAAGUUCUACCUCUGAGUCAACUAGCUUGAGAAGAUAUUCCGCUGCUAAAUUUUUAUGGUGGCCCGGACCACGGGCGUUGGUCUUAAGCUUUUGGACUAGGGGGCGGCUUGAAGUUUCUUUCUCCAGAAUGGAGAGUCGGCCUGUAUUCAAAUGAGCAAUAGAAAACUGAAAUAAGGUGAAAGUUAUAAAUAUUGAUGAAAACAUGACGAAAGUUUAUCGAAGACACUUACAGGUGGAGCCGCAUUGAGCACGCAGAAAGGGUUCACUCCUACUUUGCGGCAAUUUUCCAAAGUCUCUCCAAGUAAUGAUUUAACCAGAGCGGUGGCUUCCUCAUUAGUCAAGGGUGUCUGGUUGUCGCAUUGAGGGUCCUUUGUGUCACCUGUAUACUCACGCAUUAAGCCGCUACGCCGGCUUAAUGGCAAAAUUCUCCACGAGAUCCAACAACGGACCAGGUCGACUCCAGACAAGCCGUUGGCUACCACGGCUCUUAUCUUUGGAAAGAUGGUUGAAUACUUAGCCCGUUCUGCAGCCGAGAUACGAUCUGGAAGCGUGUGGGUGGGGCUAAGCCGGAAAGGGUGAAAACCUGAUAGGGGAUUCUCACUAGCCGGAGAUGUGUCUUAACAAUAGAACCACGUGCAAUUCCAAUCUUUGGGGUAACUAGGCAAUACAGCUGCCGGAAAAAUAAUAUCUUGUCGCCUCUGAAUGGAAAUUCCACCAAGGUCGAGACUAGGCUCAUCGGUCAUCUUCAAAUAGAAAUACUCUCUUAAUAAAUCAACCUCAGGCUCUUGUUGAAGGUACACUUCGCAGAAGACUUGAAAAUUGCAUAUAUUGGAAACAGAGUUGGGACCAAUGUUUGAGGGUGAAUAUUGUAAAAAUGGAGAACAUCCUAGAAGAAUUUUGACCCAGGUGGCGAGAAGCCGCCGAGGAGGUGAUCCGCAAAGAUGAUGACUUCACCUUCUUUAGGUUGAGGUCUAGUUUCAACGCGUGGAACUUGCCAAUGGAUGGUAUCCUUCGUUGGUAAGACUCCCAUAUCAACAUACUCUUGGAGAGAAAGUUUAGAAACUUUAGAAGCGACCCAAUCGCAAGAAGUGGGAGUCUUGGUCAUGAUUGGUGGUUUAAAAAGCUAUGGACAGGGAGCAAAAAUAUGGCGGGUUAAAAUUACGGUGGCCAAAGAAGGUUGGUGGGUUACAAGAUUGCGAAUUUAUUAUUAAGGCGCCCAAACAUUGAAGGGCGGGUGAAACAACUACUGAUUUCAUUCUUCUCAGAAUUUCACCAAGUGUUGGGCAAACAAGUUUCACAGAUUAUGCCUAUAAUUUUGGAUCUACGGCAGUUCAAAAAAUAAAGAGUAAUUGCUAAACCUAAAGCAUGGUUGUGAAAGAACUAGUAAGUUGGGGAUUGAAUAUUAGGAGGAAAUAAUGAAUCUACGAUUUGAGACAAACGUCGGAAGUACUACCGCACGGCUUCAGUAUUUGGAUUGCGCAAAGUGACAGAUGCAUGAACUGCGAUGGAAUUGGACAAACAUGAUGAACUAGGGUGACCUAAUGCAGAUUGGAAGUGAGAAAAGAUGAAUACCUGGAGGUGCCAUAUGAGUAGCGGGUAGGCACCGUGAUCACUGGUCACAAUCAGGUUGAUGCAGCGGCCUGGAUGGAGCUGCUCGUGAAGGUCGACUGGGGCGGCGGAGCUUCGACAGCGACGGUCGACGCGAGGAAGAAGAAGAAGAAGAAGAAGAGAGAAGGGCGGGGGUAAAAGUGAAAAGUGGGGCCCUCUAUCCCUAUUUAUAAGGAAACAAUAAAAUGGCAUGAACGGAAAUCAAGGAGGCAACAUGAUUAUCUCCAUAGUGCAGGUGCCUUGAUUCUCGGAUGGCUCGUUAAUGCGAAAGAUCCAUUGUGAUGUCAUGGUUUUUUAUGGAUUUACUUCACAUGACGUCAUGGCGAGUUACAGUGGUUUGUUCAAGUUUACUUCGCAUGACGUCAUGGCGGGUUACUAUGGUUUAUUCAAGGUUAAACUUUGGAAGGACGACUCGCCAACUAAAGCAGUGAAGAUUGACAUGAACAAGUUCAAAUUAAUCUGGGGCCUAAUGUUGGGGAUACCUCCCCGAGGUGUGACCCGCCCAGGAGGGGCCGGGUUACACCAUUGGCGACUCAGUAUGAAGAAGGCCCAAGCAUGUCUAAGAAGAUGAAACAUGAAGACUGGUGGCGGCUUGCAAGGUGGGCAUGUUGAAGGCCCAAGAUCCGGUGGAAGAGUCAUGACCCAGAGGGUGUGAGCCGCCACGAUGGUGACUUGCCUAACAAGGCAGGAAUAUUUAGAAACCGAGUUGGUCAUGUUGUGUGAUCCGACUUGGACUCUUGUAAGCCUUGGGCCUCGACCUGUGUAUAUAAAGGUGAGACCCAGCGGUGGGUUAAUGUAACACCCUCGAUGCGGCUAUAUCUCCCAUGUGUCGGAGCACGACUUAGAGGCAUAACCGCAUUGAAGGCAAUGUCGCAAGAGGGGUAAUCUUUACACAUCCCAUGUACUGAAUAAGAAAGAGGUACAGAGUUGGCUUACAAUCGCCACUUCACACAAUACAUGAAUAAAGCAUUACAUCAUCCAGAUACAACCAAGGUCCGACUACGGAACCAAAAUAAAAGAAGACUACCCCUAAUGCUACAGAUCCCCGAUCGCCCCAACUGGGCUCCACUACUGAUCAACUAAAACGAAACAACACAACGGACACGAUCUUCAUCAAGCUCCUCCUUGAGCUUGGUUGCGUCACCUGCACGGUUCAACGGCACCUGCAAGCUGGUUUUGGAAGUAAUCUGUGAGUCAAGGGGACUCAGCAAUCUCACACCCUCGCGAUCAAGACUAUUUAAGCUUAUGGGUAGGGAAAAGGUAUGAAGUGGAGCUACAGCAAGCAUUAGCUUAUAUGGUGGAUAACUUACGCAAAUGAGAGCGAGAAGAGAAGGCAAAGCACGGUCGAGAAUCUAAGAUCAAGAAGUGAUCCUGAAACUACUUACGUUCAAGCAUAACUCCAACACCGUGUUCACUUCCCGGACACCGCCGAGAAGAGACCAUCACGGCUACACACGCGGUUGAUGCAUUUUAAUUAAGAUAAGUUUAAGGUUUUCUACAACCGGACAUUAACAAAUUCCCAUCUGCCCAUAACCGCGGGCACGACAUUCGAAAGUUCAAAUCCCUGCAGGGGGUGUCCCAACUUAGCCCAUCACAAGCUCUCACGGUCAACGAAGGAUAUUCCUUCUCCCGGGAAGACCCGAUCAGACUCGGAAUCCCGGUUACAAGACAUUUCGACGAUGGUAAAACAAGACCAGCAAAGCCACCCGAAUGUGCCGACAAAUCCCGAUAGGAGCUACACAUAUCUCGUUCUCAGGGCACACCAGAUUGUCCAAGGUUCCGGCAGGCCAGCCCAGAGUUGCCCCUGGUGGCCACCGGCAGCUGACAGGUUGGACCAACACUCACAGGAGCACUGGCCCGGGGGUUUAAAUAUAGAUGACCCUUGAGUCUGCAGAACCCAAGGGAAAGAAAAGGCUAGGUGGCAAAUGGUAAAACCAAUGUUGGGCCUUGCUGGAGGAGUUUUAUUCAAGGUGAACUGUCAAGGGGUUCCCAUUAUAACCCGCCCGUGUAAGGAAUGCAAAAUCAAGGAACAUAACACCGGUAUGACGGAAACUAGGGCGGCAAGAGUGGAACAAAACACCAGGCAUAAGGCCGAGCCUUCCACCCUUUACCAAGUAUAUAGAUGCAUUAAUUAAAUAAGAGGUAUUGUGAUAUCCCAACAAAUAUCCAUGUUCCAACAAGGAACAAACUCCAAUCUUCACCUGCAACUAGCAACACUAUAAGAGGGGCUGAGCAAAGCGGUAACAUAGCCAAACAAUGGUUUGCUAGGACAAGGUGGUUUAGAGGCUUGACAUGGCAAUAUGGGAGGCAUGAUAUAGCAAGUGGUAGGUAUCGCAGCAAAAGCAUAGCAAAAGAGCGAGCAACUAGCAAGCAAAGAUAGAAGUGAUUUCGAGGGUAUGGUCAUCUUGCCUUAGAUCCCGCAAGGAAGAAGAACGAGUCCAUGAAGGAGACAAACGGGCGUAGUCGAACGGAUCCUCACAAACGCAACGUUAUCGGAACUAACCCGAAGAAGCACACCGGGAAGAAGCAAACAACAUAGUAAACAACCAUCACAUAAUCAUGGCAUGAUGCACAAGAAGUAUGAUGCAUGUCCGAUUUAAUGAGGCAUGGCAUGGCAAAGUGCACAGGCAUGGCAUGGCAAAGUGCACAAGCAAUUCUGAAAAUUUUAGAAAAUGUAGGAAAUUUGUAUAUCAAUCAUAUGUAAAAAAUGCACAAUUUUAUCACGUUCCAGUGAAUUUAAAUAGUUCUGUUACUGGGCGAAAAUGUUUCUGUUUUUGCACAUAAUCAAGUCAACUAUCAUCCACACUAUCCCAAAGGCUUUACUUGGCACUUUAUUGAAACAAAAGCUAUAAAAUGUGAUUACUAAAGUAGCUUAAUUAUGUGAACACAAAAAAAUAGUAGGUAUAAAUGUUGGAUUGUCUCCCAACAAGCAUUUUUCUUUAAUGUCUUUUUAGCUAGGCAUGUGUAUUUCAAUGAUGCUCAUAUAAAAGUAAAGAAUUGAAACAUAAUGGGAACAUCAUGAAGCAUAUGGCUAGCACAUUUAAGUAUAACCCACUUCCUAUGCAUAGGGAUUUUGUGAGAAAACAAUUUAUGUGAGCAAGAAUCAACUAGCAUAGCAAGGCAAAACAAGUAUAACUUCAAAACUUUCAACAUAAAGAGAGGAGACUUGAUAUUAUUGAGAUAUGUAAAGCGUAAGUUUCUCUCUCAUAAUAAUUUUCAAUAGCAUCAUGAAUGAAUUCAACAAUAUAACUAUCACAUAAAGCAUUCUUUUCAUGAUCCACAAGCAUAGAAACUUUACUGCUCUCCACAUAAGAAAAUUUAUUCUCAUUCAUAAUAGUAGUGGAGCAAACUCAUUGCAAUAACUAUCAUAUGCACUUGAUUCACAUAAUCAAUUUGAGCAUGACAAGUUUCAUGGAUAUCAUUAUUCUUUACAUCAUAAGUUUCAUCACAAUAAUCAUCAUAGAUAGCAACUUCGUUGUAAUAAUCAAUUGAAAACUCUUCCAAAAUAGUGGAUUCACCAUUAAAUAAAGUCAUGACCUCUCUAAAUCCGCUUUCAUCAAUAUAAUCAUCAUAAGUAGGAGGCAUGCUUUCAUCAUAAUAAAUUUUCUCCUCAAAACUUGGGAGACUAAAUAUAUCAUCUUAAUCAAACAUAGAAUCCUCAAGCUUAUGGCUUUGCAUAUCACUAGCAUCAUGGAUAUUCAAAGAAUUCAUACUAGCAGCAAUGCAAUCAUGUUCAUCAUUCAAAGAUUUGAUGCCAAACAUUUUAUUGAAUUCUUCUUCUAUCAAUUGAGCACAAUUUUCCUUUCCAUCAUUUUCACGAAAGAUAUUAUAAAGAUGAAUAAUAUGUGGCAACCUCAAUUCCAUUUUUGGUAGUUUUCUUUUAUAAACCAAACUAGUGAUAAACAAGAAACUAAAAGAUCCGAUUGCAAGAUCUAAAGAUAUACCUUCAAGCACUCACCUCCCAGGCAACGACGCCAGAAAAGAGCUUGAAGUCUACUACGCAACUUUAUUCUUGUAGACUCGUGUUGGGCCUCCAAGCGCAUAGUUUUGUAGGAUAGUAGCAUUUUUUUCUCAAGUGGAUGACCUAAGGUUUAUCAAUCCAUGGGAGGCGUAGGAUGAAGAUGUCUCUGUCAAACAACCUUGCAAUCAAAUACAAGAAAUCUCUUGUGUCCCCAACACACCAAAUACAAUGGUAAAUUGUAUAGGUGCACUAGUUCGGCGAAGAGAUGGUGAAACAAGUGUAGUAUGGAUAGUAGAUAUAGGUCUUUGUAAUCUGAACAUAUAAAAACAGCAAGGUAGCAAGUGACAAAAUGGAGCACAGCGGGUAUUUUGAUGCUUAGAAACAAGGCCUAGGGUUCAUACUUUCACUAGUGCAAUCUCUCAACAAUUCUAACAUAAUCAUAUGGCAAUCCCUCAACGUGCGAUAAAGAGUCACUCCAAAGUUCUUAUGUAGCGGAGAACAUAAGAUGAAAUUGUUUGUAGGGUACGAAACCACCUCAAAGUUAUCCUUUCCGAUCAAUCUAUUGAGCUAUUCCUAUAAGUGUCACGAAGAACCCUAGAGUUCAUACUAAAAUAGCACCACAUGAUACGCAUCAACCAACUUUAAUGUCACCUAGAUACUCCAAUGUCACCACAAGUGUCCAUGAGUCAAUUAUACAAUACGCAUCAAACAACUUUUGAUUCAUAAUAUUCAAUCCAACACAAAGAACUUCAAAGAGUGCCCCAGGAUUUCUACCGGAGAAAGUAGGACGAAAACAUGCAUCAACCCCUAUGCAUAGAUUACACCAAUGUCACCUCUGGAAUCCACGAGUUGAGUGCCAAAACAUACAUCAAGUGAAUCAAUAAAACACCCCAUUGUCACCAUAGCUAUCCAUAUGCAAGACAUACAACAAGUGUUCUCAAAUUCAUAAAAGUAUUCAAUGCGAUAAUAGUGAAACCCCAAAGGUAAAAACUCAAUUCAUCACAACAAGAUAUAGAGGAGAAAACACCAUAUGAUCCAACUAUAUGAACAAAGCUCACGGUACAUCAAGAUCGUGUUAAAUCAAGAACAAGAGAGAGAGAGAGAGAGAUCAAACACAUAGCUACUUGUACAUACCCCUAGCCUUGAGGGUGAACUACUCCCUCCUCAUCAUGGUGGCCGCCGGGAUGAUGAAGAUGGCCUCCGGUGAUGAUUUCCCCUCCGGCAGUGGUAUUUCGGAGGUAAAGAGGCGUGUGGCGGUGGAGUCCAAGUUCUAGGGUUAUUUCUGGUGGUUUCUCUAUUUAUAGGAUGUUUUGGCAUCAGUCUCACGCUAAGAUGGGCCACAGGGUGCCACUACCCACCAGCCCACGGCUAAGACCCCUAGCGCGCCCUGGUGGGUAGUGGCCACCUCCUUCACCUUCUAGUCCUCCCAUGAAGCUUCUAGUGCCUCUUUUGUUCCAAAAAAUCGUCAAAAAGUUUCGCUACAUUUGGAGAACUUUUAUUUCUACACAAAAAACAACACCACGGUAGUUCUGCUAAAAACAGCGUCAGUCCGGGUUAGUUCCAUUCAAAUCAUACAAAAACCAUAUAAAAUUGUUGUAAACAUGGCAUGAAUACUUCAUAAAUUAUAGAUACGUUGGAGACAUAUCACCUGGCAAGGCGACCCUCGAUGCUAUAAAUAGUGGAAAACGAGGCCGCCCCAGGGGUAGAUCUUUUGGCGUCAGAAGGGAGACAAGUCGAUGUUUCCACCUUGUAACACACACAUUGUAGCUCCAUAUCAUUACAAUACAAUACAAAGCAGGAGUAGGGUAUUACACCAAGAAGGUGGCCCGAACCUUGGUAGCUUCUUGUGUUCAUCAAUAGUUCAUCCAUCACCUUCAUCCAUGACUUAGGAUCGCUAGACGUGUUUAGUCCCUAGCCAAACUCUCAAAGGGUUGUUGCUCACAACUCAUAUGCAGAUUCUUAGAAAUCAACAAUAGUGUGUAGACAAAUUACUGUUGGUCAAUUGAUAGAAAAGUGCAUCAUUAUGACGAUAUUCAUGGCAAUGAUCAUGUACAUAGGGAUUACAGCCAUGACAAAUAGACCGACUCCUGCCUGCAUGUACUACUAUUACUCCACCAAUCGAUCGACUCCUGCCUGCUUCUAUGGUAUUAAGUUCAUGACGAACAGAGUAACACUUUAAGAAAGAUGACAUAAUGUAGACAGAAUAAAACCAAGCAAUACAAUUAAACCAUGUCUUUUUACCCUUAUUAACAACAAUACAAAUACGUGCCUUGCUACCCCUUCUGUCAUGAGGUGAGGACACUGCAAGAUUGAACCUACUACAAAGCACCUCUCUCACUGAAGAUAAAUCAAUCUAGUUGGCCAAACCAAACAAGUAGAUCAGAGAGAAAUACAAAGCUAUAAUAAUAAUGCAUAAUAAAGUUCACAAAAGACUCAACUAGUUUCAAUGAAUAUUCUAAUCAUAAACCCACAAUUCAUCGGAUCCCAACUGAAAGUACAUGUAGUCCCCAUGUGUGGUUUUGGUAAUUAAUGACAAUCCUUAUGGACUAAUGUUUGCAUCAAGAUAUACAUCUGAAGGAACUUUCCAUUUGUAAUGCAUGAAGAAUACUGGAUGAAUUGAAGGAUGAAAUCCAUCAACACAAAUAUAUGCAUUGAGACUUGAUAAUGAAUGAAAAAUCCUAUGAAGAAACAAUGGAAUCAAGUUAUAUAUGAAGGCUUGUUCCUUGGGCGAUGCAAGAAGGAGAUUCAAUGGAUUUAUAAUAAAUGCCAUAUACAUAUAGUUGUGCAACAAGAUUGAGCUCAAUGAUUGAAUAAAAUAUGAUCAAGAUGAAUUCCAUGUGAUGAACAAGAUGUGAUCUACAUGGAGUUCACUAAAGGAUCAUGCCUAGGCUUAUGGGGUGAGCCAUGAUGGAUCAUGAUCUUGAUAAAAUGAUUAAAGAGAAGAAUUCUACAUAUGGUUUGAAGAUAGGAUCAUGAUGAGCUCAUAUGUUGAGUCAUGGAUGAUUAUGUCUUGAAGCAAGUAAUGCAUGUGAAGAUUGUGAUGGAGCAUGAAUAAGAACAAAUGAUGACCAACAUGGUAUUCAUGGAUAAACUCUAUAUGGUCAUAUGAUAUUUGAGAUAUGGGUAAUCAUGUUGGGGAAUGCAGUAUUUCAAAAAAUGUACCUACGAUCACGCAAGAUCUAUCUAGGAGAUGCAUAGCGACGAGAGUGGACAGCAUCUUCAUACCCUUGAAGAUCGCAAAGCGGAAGCAUUUAUCAACGCCGUUGAUGUAGUCGUACACCUUCACGAUCUGUCCCGAUCAAGUACCGAACGUAUGGCACCUCCGGGUUGAGCACACGUUUAGCUCGAUGACGUCCUCACCUUCUUGAUCCAGCAAGAUGGGCGAAGUAGUAGAUGAGUUCCGACAGCACGACGGCGUGGUGACGGUGUAGGUGAAGAACAAUCUCCGCAGGGCUUCGCCAAGCACAACGGAAACUAUGACGGAGGAUAAACUAGAGGGGAUGGAGUUGCCGACACACGGCUUGGUGAUUCUUGAUGUGUCUUUGGUGCUAGCCCUGCCCCUCUAUUUAUAUGUUGAGCCUUGGGGUCGAAACUUGGAGUAAAAGCCUCCACAAAGUCGGUUUCACCCGAAAAUCAAGAGUCCUUCUAGGACUCCAGGGCCAGACGCCAGGGUUCCCAGUGUCUGGACCCAGACGCUAGGGACCUUGGUGUCUGGCCCCUGGACUCCACAAAACUUCCUUUUGCGCUUUCCAAAAACCUUGUGGGAUUUCCCCUUUGGCCCAAAUAAAGUGUUCCCGUACCCAAACAUUUCGGGAAACAUCCGGAACCCCUUCCGGUGAACUCCGGAACCCUUUCGGAGACCAAACACUAUUAUCCCAUAUAUCAAUAUUUACUUCCGGACCAUUUUGAAGCUCCUCGUCAUAUCCGUGAUCACAUCCGGGAUUCCGAACAACAUUCAGUUACCAACAUACAUAACUCAUAUAGUACUAUAUUGUCAACGAACGUUUAAGCGUGCGGACCCUACGGGUUCAAGAACUAUGUAGACAUGGCCGAGACACUUCUCCGGUCAAUAACCAAUAGCGGAACUUGGAUGCCCAUAUUGGCUCCUACAUAUUCUACGAAGAUCUUUAUCGGUCGAACCUUAUGACAACAUACGUAAUUCCCUUUGUCCAUCGGUAUGUUACUUGCCCAAGAUUCGAUCGUCGGUAUCCUCAUACCUAGUUCAAUCUCAUCACCAGCAAGUCUCUUUACUCGUCCCGUAAUGCAUCAUCCUAUAACUAACUCAUUAGUCACAUUGCUUGCAAGGCUUAUAGUGAUGUGCAUUACCGAGAGGGCCCAGAGAUACCUCUUCGGUACUCAGAGUGACAAAUCCUAAUCUUGAUCUAUGCCAACCCAACAAACACCUUCAAAGACACUUGUAGAGCAUCUUUAUAAUCACCCAAUUAUGUUGUGACGUGUGAUAGCACACAAGGUGUUCCUCUGGUAUUCAGGAGUUGCAUAAUCUCAUAGUCAGAGGAAUAUGUAUAAGUCAUGAAGAAAGCAACAGCAAUAAAACUUAACAAUCAUUAUGCUAAGCUAAUGGAUGGGUCUUGUCCAUCACAUCAUUCUCUAAUGAUGUGAUCCCGAUCAUCAAAUGACGACACGUGUCUAUGGUUAGGAAACUUAACCAUCUUUGAUUAACGAGCUAGUCAAGUAGAGGCACACUAGGGACACUCUGUUUUGUCUAUGUAUUCACACAUGUACUACGUUUCCGGUUAAUAUAAUUGUAGCAUGAAUAAUAAACAUUUAUCAUGAUAUAAGGAAAUGUAAAUAACAACUUUAUUAUUGCCUCUAGGGCAUAUUUCCUUCAAAUCAUGUCUUGAAGAAAUGAAGCAUAGUGAAGAAUUCAAUAUGGCCUUCAAGACAUCAAGAUUAAGCAUGGAAUAAAGAUAAAGUUUAACCAAGAUAAAGAUCAAAGAAUUGAACUCUAAAUGGUCAACAUGCAAGUGCAAACGAUGCAUCACAUAGGAUCUCAUGGUAUGAUAAGAAAUUGUCAAUUGCACUUUGUGUACUAACCCAUGUUAUGUGUUGUCUAUAUUUAUGAGGGUUGGGUUAUUCUCAUGGGCUCGCAUCGAGAGAAAUAUUCUAAGUGUCCAUGAGAGGAUGACAUCAAGUGUUCAUGAUCAUGGUUUACAAGGGCAAGUUCAAGAUAACCAUUCCAAAGGAUUACAUGCUUGAAGCUUGUGGAUGAUCGCAUGAUGGGCAAGUGAAGAUGAAUACAAGGCAAAGCUUCCCACAUGGUGUAUGGGAGAGCUACUUGAAGACAUAUGCAAUGUCUUGCCUUCAACUUGUGGCAAGAUGAAACAUUAACAUCAAGCUCAAGUGAAAGGCUCGAGUCAAAGGUAUUAGUUCCUUUGGCGUUAGUGUUGUGGAGUGAUGACCACCGAAGAAACAUAUACACUCAAGGAUGGAUUCUCGAUAGCUAUGUAGUGUAGCUCUUUUAUGAUUCUUGAGUUAUAGAGAUCCCGCACUGUUAAGAGGGGGUCAAAGGGGUUCAUGAUGGAUUUGCUCAAGUCAACAUCUUCUAUACACAAUUCCACUCCUAUCAACCACAUAAAUCCAUAGCCAACUAGGUUCCCCAAAGUAUAUGAUCUAACCUUUGCAUACUUUGCACCCUCCAUUUUAUUUUAUCUUGGGUGGUUCUCUAUGUGAGGACCUAGUGUUUUCCCAUAGCUUCAAAACAAGCCCAAGAGCAUCAAAAUCCGAGUCAGUGUGAAAAAGUUAUGCAUGUUGUUACCUUUGGGGCGCCUGCAGUUUUUGUGAUGGCCAGGUGUCCGGGCCUUGGUCGGAUGUUCGGGCUCCCGGGACGCCCCAGAUGUCCGGGAUCCUCCCAGAAAUCCGUCUGUCCAUGUCCAGAAACUUUGCUGAAAUGUUGGUUGUGUCUGCCGGAUGUCCGGCACUAGGCCGGAUGUCUGGGCCCCAACUUUGGCCAAAUGUCUGGGCCCUGUACAUUGGCCCUUUUUUCUGUGUACGUGUGCACAUUUCUCAACCGCCGGAUGUCCGGCCCUUGCCCGGAUAUCCGGCCCGAUACAGCCACUUACUCACAAAUGGCUAGUCUUUUAGGCUUGCUAUAUAUACCCUCUACCAAUCCGGUAGAGGGUUGACAUCUCAAUCCAAAAGAACCAUAGAACACCCAAGUGGCUCCCUCUCACUUAUCCUACAUCAAAUCUUAGAUCCCAGAGAGAUUCGUGAGAGUUCUUGAGAGAUUUUCCAAUCAAGUGAUAGAUCUAAUCCCUCUCCCUCUUGUGACCAAAUAAAUUCGUGAUUUGAGCAAGUCCUGAGCAUUUCCCCCCUUGAUCUUGUAACUCUUGGAGGUUGGAGACUCCUAGGUAGUAUGAGUGCUCCGGUGAGGAAUCAACUUGUGAUUUGCCCCCGGAAAGUUUGUAAAGGUUGGAGGCCGCCUCAAGGUCUACCACUAGUGGUUGAGAAAGGCCUUUGUGGUGUUGUCUCAAAGAGAGAAUAUGGGGAGCCUUCAUGGCAUUGGUGUGCCUUCGUGGUAACAUCAACCUCUCUAAUGGUGACUAGCUUCCCUCCAAGGAAGUGAACAUCGGAAUACAUCCUCGUCUUCGUGUCUUCGGUUAUCUCUAACCCUAGCCACUACUUGUGGUUUACUUUGGUCUCUUGACCUUGCAUUCACUAUAUAUUGUUGUCCUCAUUAUAUUGUGUUGGCUAUUUCCUUGUAGAGAUUAUUUAGACCGACACUUUAUAUCCCGCAAUGCAUACUUGCUACUAUUGAUAUAUCUUGUGUUUAGUGUGACUUACUAACUUGUGUCAUAUACUUGCAGAUCUUGUGAUAUUGCUCAAGUAAGUAUGUUUAACUUACUUGUGCUUAUUAGUAACCUUGUGCUCACCUCAUUUAGAUUAAGCUGUUGGUGCACUUAGUUGAGCCUAGUAUAUAUAGGAUUUGUGCUUAAAAAGUAUCCUCUUAGUUUAUUUCCGCAUUAGGAUAAAACCAAAUCCAUAGAAAUUUUUAAAACGCCUAUUCACCCCCCCCCCUCUAGGCGACAUCGUGGACCCUUCACCAACAAACACACCGCAAAAGAAGAUUUCAUUGGAUAGAACUCCGAGGAGAACAUUGUAUUGAAGAUUAAAGAGAGAGAGAGAAGAAGAAGCCAAUUAGCCAAUCGCUAUGGACCUGUAGGUCUAUGGUGAACAACUCACACAUCAGCGGAGGUGCAAUAAGGUUGAUGUAGAAGACCUUCAUGAUCGAUUCCCCCUCCGGCAGAGUGCCGAAAAAGGUCUCCAGAUGGGAUCACGGAAGAACAGAAGCUUACGGCGCAAAGAAAAUUGUUUCAGGUGUCUCUCAGUUGGUUUUGGGAUUCAUGCGAAAUUAUAGGCCUGGAAUUAGGUCAAAUGGAGUUAUGUGGGGCCCACAAGCUCAGGUGGCACCCCUGGAGCCGCGCCGUGUGAGCUUGUGGCACUCAUGUACAUCUUCUGGCCUCCUCCUGAAGCUUCUAGGGUCCCUUCUAGUCCAGAAAAAAUCACUGUAAAGUUUCGUCUUGUUUGGACUUCGUUUGGUACUGAUUUUUUGUGAAACUAAAAACAAGCAAAAAAAGGACUGGAACUGGGCACUAAGUUAAUAGGUUACUUUCCAAAAAUAAUAUAAAAUUGCAUAUAAAGUAUCUAAGAUUGAUAAUAUAAUAGCAUGAAACAAUUAAAAACUAUAGAUACAUCAGAGACGUAUCAGAUAUCACUUUUGGGUUUUGGUUCAUUGUAUGCAUUAGAGUUGGUAGCGGUGAGUUCCGCAAAAAAAGUUGGUAGCGGUGACUUUUUGUAGUCAACCUUCUUACUCGAGGACGAGCAAGGUUUAAGUGUGGGAGGUUGAUGGCUCUAUGGUUUACGCACUUUUAGAGCUCAUUUGUUGCAUGUUCUCUUCAUAUGUCAUGUCUCAUUGAACCAAAUAGUUGUCCAUUGUGUAUAAUUACCGGUUUUUGCACUUAUCAUUAUGAGCAUUACACAUUUAGUAUAUUAUUUAGUUUUUAUUAGGUUUCUUUGUUUUCUUGUGUCUACAGGUGUUUUGUAGCAACAUAGUACCAAGCACGAUGAAAGGACCAGGGAUGGGUUUGAUACGGAGUCGCCCAAGGGUCAGACUUAGCCAUUUCGAAGACCAUAAAUGGGUCGGCAUCAUUCAUACGAGUCCAGCGAGCCCAAGAAUGUCAAAUUUCAAGUUCGUAUGAAGAAUACGCGACUGUUGAGGGAGUCCUGGACUAAGGGGUCCUCGGGCGUCUGGCCUGUUAUCUAUGGGUCGGACUGAUGGGCUGUGAAGACAUGAAGGCCGAAGACUGCACCGUGUCCGGAUUGGACUCUACUUGGUGUGGAAGGCAAGCUUGGUGACCAAAGAUUCCUUCUUAUGUAACCGACUCCAUGUAAACCCUAGAUCCCCUCGGUGUCUAUAUAAACCGAAGGGAUAGUCCGGAAAGGACACCACAUAUACUCAUUACCAUACCCACAUAGGCUAGACUUCUAGGGUUUAGCCAUUACGAUCUCGUGGUAGAUCCACUCUUGUAACACUCAUAUUCAUUAAUAUCAGUCAAGCAGGACGUAGGGUUUUACCUCCAUAGAGAGGGCCCGAACCUGGGUAAACAUCGUGUCCCCCGUCUCCUGUUACCAUCGAUCCUAGACGCACAGUUCGGGACCCCCUACCCGAGAUCUGCCGGUUUUGACACCGACAUUGGUGCUUUCAUUGAGAGUUCCACUGUGCCGUCGACAAAAGGUUUGAUGGCCCCUUCAAUCGACAAUAAUGAUGCCGUCCAAGGAGGAAUUUUCCUCCCUGGACAGAUCUUCGUAUUCGGCGGCUUCGUACUGCGGGCCAACUCGCUUGGCCCUCUGGAGCAGAUCGACAGCUACGCCCCUGGCCAUCAGGUCGGGUUCGGUAGCGUAAACUACGCCGCGGAUAUACGGGGAGACCUGAUCUUCAAGGGAUUUGAGCCCGUGGCGAUCGCCCCCCUUAUCCCAAUGAACGUGACAUAAAUCUAUCGCCGGAUCACACCCAGGAGAUGGUUCCUGCGGCCGCAACGACCUUAGAGCCGAAGUAGAUCAAGCCAUCCGAGGCCGCAGAGUCCGCGGCGUUGGAGCCGCACAUGGACUCGACGCCCUGAAAUAUUCGCUUUAAUGGAACUUCGGACUCAUCUCUGGCUAUAAGUUCCGGACUGUGUACGCUCGAGCUAGAUCGGUUAUCGAUCUUUGAGUUCAGCGCUGUUGACGUUUUCUAGCACUCGCCUUUGGGUGACAUGCUAAAAUCUUUAAAGAAUUUUUCCUUGGAGAAGGAAUCACAGCCGAACCAUGUCCGGUUCGAGCUAGAGACGGAUGAUGAGGAAUUUUGCUUCGCACCCGCCACCCACUUCAUAGCCACCGUCGAUGACUUAACUGACGUUCUUGACUAUGGCUCCAAAGACAUCGACGGUAUGGACGACGAUGCCGACAAGGAGUAAGGCCAAGACCCACCAUUCACUGGACGCUGGAUGGCUACCUCUUUGUACGACGUGUACAUGGUUGAUACACCUAAAGGAUCUGGCGACAACAAAGAAGAGCCAGAUGUGAAUAAAACCUCCGAGACACAGUCCAAGCGUCGGUGGCCCAAGCGCCGCCCCAAGCACCACCGCUCACAGGACGGCAACACUGGCACCGGAGAAAAUAGUACUCCAGGCGACGCAAAAAACAAUGAAGACCCUGUCAGGGCUACAUCCGAGCAGGAACAUGACAGCAUGCAAGACAACCUCGAAGAACGGACCAUACAAGAUGACCCGGAGGAUGAUAGUUACCACCCACCCUCCGAGGAGGAGAAGCCUUGGCAACGAAGACUUCAUCUUGCCUGAGGAUCCUCUCGAGCAGGAGCACUUCAGCUCAUAGCCACGACAAGGAGCCUGAAAAAGAAACAACAGCAGCUUCAAGAUGAACAAGACCUGCUCGUCGAUAGAUGGACCAACGUCCUGACAACCGAGGAACACGACCUCAACCGCCCAGCCAAGAGCUACCUGAAAUGCAGACUGCUACCUUAAUUCGAUGAGGAGGCACCGGAGCAUAUACCCCCCUCGCGUAGUAUGGACCGACCACCACGUGGUCGAGACAGGACGGCUGAACGGCCACCCCAUAGUCGGGAUAAAGUGGCAACUCAGGCCGAACAACAGAACGCCCAACCACCCCACCAAAAUAGGGACAGAAGAGCUCGGAGUCAUAUGUGCGACCUCCGACAGACUCUGGACAGUAGAGCAGGACACACAAGAUCGAUCUACGGAUCGCGAGGAUGCGCCUUGAAGCACGACAACGGCUACCUAUUCGGACGUGACAAACCUAACCAUGCUCGGGCCGAACACCGCAGACGAACUCCAUCCGAGCUCCGCCAUGAUGCGACCUAAUAUAGAGGCCCCGCACACCCGCUCUGCUUCACAGAUGAAGUACUGGAUCAUGAAUUCCCCGAGGGGUUCAAGCCCAUCAAUAUUGAGUCAUACGACGGCACAACCGAUCCCGCAGUAUGGAUCGAGGAUUUCAUCCUCCACAUCCACAUGGCCCGAGGAGACGACCUCCACGCCAUCAAAUACCUCCCAUUAAAUCUUGGCACUAGUUAAAUAGCCUGCCUAAGAACUCCAUCGGCAGCUGGGAGGGCUUGGAAGACGCUUUCUUCGAUAACUUCCAAGGAACUUAUGUCCGGCCACCAGAUGCCGAUGACCUAAGCCACAUAGUUCAGCAACUGUAACAUCCCAAAUUUUUAAUUUGGAAUGUUAUACAUAGAUCAUCCAUGCAUAUCAUGUUUUAUUGCUUUCCGUUCCGUAAUCCUCGAAAUCCUAAGCAACUCAAGGACCCACGGAGAGAGUUGGGGAUUUUUCUGUUUUCAUAUUUGAUUUUUAUCAAAUAAUGAAACGAGGAUUUUGAUUUUAAUAAUUUUUCUCUCCGAAGUAUUUCAUAUUAAAUCAAAUGAGUGGAGAUAAUAUGACUUCUCCGAAAUAAUUGAAAUAUUGGAGGAAAAAUAUUAAAAUCAUUUAUUGGAUUUUAUUUGGUUUUAUUCGAAUUUUAUUUGCAUUAGAAAAAUUGCACAUUUUCAAAAUUGCACUUUAGGGCCAAGAAAAUGUUCACCUCGUCCUAAAUAUUUUAUUUAGGCGAUGAAAAUUUGUUUUGGCAUUUUUAGAUUUUUAUUUAUUUUUCUAGGAUUUUUCUUCCGUCGGUGGAAUUAUUUAAAAAAAAGUUCCCGCGCCGACUGGGCCUAAGGCCCAGCCACGCCAGACCGCCGUGCCAGGCCGCCGCCGCCUCCUCCUGCGCGCGCGCCGCCGCCGCCGCCGACUCGGACAAGGAGUCCGAGCCGGACUCCUCUCCGCCACCGCGCCUUGCCCCCUCCUCCAAGCCGCCCCGCCCCCGCCCUUUAUAUACCGCCGCCCCAACACCACCACCGCCGCCGCCAAGCCCCGCCUAGCCACAGUCGCCGCCGCCUGCCGCGCCGCUUCGCAGCCGCCUAGCCAGGCAGCCUCGCCGCCNNNNNNNNNNNNNNNNNNNNNNNNNNNNNNNNNNNNNNNNNNNNNNNNNNNNNNNNNNNNNNNNNNNNNNNNNNNNNNNNNNNNNNNNNNNNNNNNNNNNNNNNNNNNNNNNNNNNNNNNNNNNNNNNNNNNNNNNNNNNNNNNNNNNNNNNNNNNNNNNNNNNNNNNNNNNNNNNNNNNNNNNNNNNNNNNNNNNNNNNNNNNNNNNNNNNNNNNNNNNNNNNNNNNNNNNNNNNNNNNNNNNNNNNNNNNNNNNNNNNNNNNNNNNNNNNNNNNNNNNNNNNNNNNNNNNNNNNNNNNNNNNNNNNNNNNNNNNNNNNNNNNNNNNNNNNNNNNNNNNNNNNNNNNNNNNNNNNNNNNNNNNNNNNNNNNNNNNNNNNNNNNNNNNNNNNNNNNNNNNNNNNNNNNNNNNNNNNNNNNNNNNNNNNNNNNNNNNNNNNNNNNNNNNNNNNNNNNNNNNNNNNNNNNNNNNNNNNNNNNNNNNNNNNNNNNNNNNNNNNNNGCCGCCGUGCCCCGCCGCCGGUUUUUCUUUCUAAAACCGUUCGGUUUUUUUUUAAAUCCUAGAUUCGUUUUUUUUUCGGAUCGCCGGUUUUUCUUGGUUCUUCUAGUUAGCGGACGUUCGUCCGAACGUUCGUUUUAACGAAUGGUUCUUCGCCCAUUAGAUAAAACUAACGAACGCUCAUUCGUUAGUCUGUUCAUCAAUUUUCUUUUAUCGGAUUUAAUCCGCGAUUUUCUCUGAUCGCGAUUUCUGAUCCGAUCUUAGUUUUUGUUUAUCUUUUCGCUCGUUAGUCGGAAUCAGGCGAUUCAAGCGCCUAGAGUUUCGUCUCGAAACCCUCUUUCUGUUUAACCAACUCAAACAAGUUUUCCCUACUGUAAAAUUUGACCUAGUUUCAGAUUAGUAAACGAAGCUUCUCUCUUUCGCCGUUUGAGUUUCGUUGCUCCGUAUGAUUUGAUUCUUUUUGCGAACCAGAGUUCUUAAUUUGAACUUUCUGGUCAACCUCUUUUAUUUGUGUUUUUCUUGUGCAUCGUAGCUUGUUACUUAUGUAUGCUAUUGUUUGCUUGCGAUAGAACACCUGGAGUGCGAAGCGUGCUACUACGAGUCCCUAGGUUUCGCAGAUCGUCAGCAAGGCAAGUAACACUUUGAUCAUACCCCUUUAUCACCCAGUUUUUAUGCAUUAGUUCCAAUCCUCAAACAUUGCAUGAUUAGGAUGUCAUUAACUUGCGGGUUGGGAAGUAGUUGAUGAGGUAGAACCUAUUGCCCUGUUACAUUCAAACCCUUGGGAGUUACUCUACGCGUUGCUUAUAUACUAUGCUAUGCUAUGCUCAUAGACAUGGUUUGGGUUUGAGUGAUAUCCAUGACAGAUGUGAGAUUGUUAAAUUAAUGGUUCAACUUAAGGUGGCAACUUAAUCAAACAACUGGGUGGACUGAGGCACCUGGAGUACCCAGUGUUGCCUGUAUUUUUUUGGAAAUCCCGGAGUACCCGUGUGAUCUUCCUAUGGACCGCCACCCAGGCUCAAAGGGAACUGAGAUGAUUCAUGCUAGAAACUUCCGUGUGCAGCCAAAAGCUAUUAUGGGCUCUAGCAUAGUUGAGUAAGUUACGUAAAGCUCUUGAAGAGGCAGAUCAGCAGGUAGUGGGAUGUAGGUUUGGCAUGGUCUGUCCGGAGUAGAGAGUUAAUGUUUCUGAAAGAUGGUGUCUCAGUCAUCCGUUUCUCAAACACCCUGUAGUGCGAGAAAUCCAAUGGAGGAGAUCGAGUCUUGUGGGGAAAAGUGUGCAAACCUCUACAGAGUGUACAAUCUAAUCAUGGUUAGCCGUGUCCGCGGUUAUGGACAAUUCUUGAGUAUCUAGUACUUGGGUUAUCACAUGUAUCUCAUCAUGUUUAAUUAAUGGUGUUCGGUUGUUAAUCAUUUUAAUUGGGAUUGAGUUGGAGGAACCUUCUCAAUGAUGUUUCAACUACCAUGAUAGUUAAAUUAAAAUCUAUUCCUUUGUUGUAGGGAAAAAAUGGCUUUUCGCAAAAACUGUAACCAUAGAGCUUUCCAGCAGCCAUAUAUGCAUAUAGUGAUAGCACUAUUCUGUUUUUGCUCUACUGUGUUACAUUGCCAGCAUAUUCCAUGUGCUAACCCGUUUCGGGCUGCAACGUAUAUGUUGUAGACUUUUCAGACGAGGAGUAAGGUUCGUUUGGUCGUUGUCGUGCAGCUCAGCUAUGCCGUUGUAGUUGAUGGACUCACUUUAUCUUCCAAGCCUUCCGCUGUUAUCGCAUUAGAUGGCCUUAAGCCAUAUUAUUGUAAUAAGUUCUCUUUGGAGACUUUUCGAUGUAAUAAGUGUGUGAUUGCUACUCUGUUAUAAAUCCUCGAGUGUUGUGUGUGUCAGCAUUACCGAUCCAGGGAUGACACUGAAGCACAGAGACUUGACCAUCUGAGGUCGGGUCACUACAAGAUGGUAUCAGAGCACACGUUGAGUGUAGGACACGACCACUAAGAUAAACCCUAGGUCACACUUCUCUUCUUAUUUCUGACUCCUCUCCAUUUUCUACUCUUUAGGAUGACGGAGAUGAAGAACAAGUUUGCACAACCAGAUGAAGACACAACUUUUGGACGCCACUUGAAGGGAGUCACUAGGUACUUUAACAUUGGAAUACCAAGCUUCAUCGGGACGUACAACGCCACUUUACCUGAAGAGGAGCGCUAGAUGAUUCAAGUACAAGUUCCAAGAAGGACAUUCUCGCCAACUUCUAAACCCAUAGAAUUUUCCUUCGACGCCCCAACCUGGAGUUUAGGAAAGAGUAUGGCAGCUCACAUCCCCAUGGGACGCAUUGGAGAAGUUUACAAUAGGGAGCUUAAGGACACUAUUUACCAAAUAUGUGGGCGCCGAGAUGAGCAAUGGGAAGUAAUCAACACCAGGAAGGAUAGAUCCAUUGCAGCUUUCAUCCAGGAGUUAAACCAGCACAUUCGAUGUCAGGAGAACCAGAUGUGUGCGGACAUGAUGGACUUGAAGAAGGCGAAGACUAGGAUCACCGAGCUAGAGGAAGAACUCAAGUUUACACGCGAUGGAUAUGAGGAGGAAAUCAAGACACUACUGGAGAAGAAUGACGACCUAGUCAAGAAGAUCGGGGUAUUCAUGGGAGGACCAGCACCAAUAGCAGCAGAAGAAGAAGAACCCAAGGAAAUACGCCCCGAGGACUACAUCAUCAUCGACGACACCGACUCCGACCCUAGUGAUGAUGACUUUGAAGACGAAGCUGGAGCAGACAUCAUGGAGUCUUCCACCGAUCAAAAUUUCUAGACGACUACCAUAUAUCACUAGUAUUCCCCCAUGUAUAUAGUAGUAGUGAGCACUUUUGCGAUAGUUCUAGACCGUUGUAUGCCCUUGCUUGAUUGAUUGAGUAAAAUGAUUGUGUUUAUCUCAUGUGCAUAUGGGUAGUGCCUUCUCAUUAGACCUCUUUUCUAUUCUAAAUCUCUUCCAUCUAAACCCCUCAGAUGCCUCCGAGACGUGACACCGGUUUUGCCUUCCCACUAGAGCUCACCCAGUUGAUCCAACAGCAGAAUACGUUGAUGCAAUUGCUAGUUCAGAACCAGGGCAACAACAACAACAACAACAACCCACCGCCCGUGGACAACCUAGCCCGUUUUCUAAGGUUACAGCCGCCGGUGUUUUCCAGUAGCACUGAGCCUAUAGUUGCUAAUGAUUGGCUAUGCCGUAUUGGAAGGGAGUUGACCACCGCAGGUUGCACAGAUGCUGAGAGGGUGCGCUUUGCCGCAUAUCAAUUGGAUGGACCAGCAGCCUCAUGGUGGGAGAAUUACACAGCCACUUUUCCUAUAGCCAAUGUCACUUGGGACCAGUUUCAGCAAGCUUUCCGCAUCGCCCAUGUCUCCACUAGAGCUAUGCAAAUGAAGAAGCGGGAGUUUCGCAACCUACGCCAGGGGAAAUAUACUGUACGUGGAUGAGUUUAGCAAGUUAUCUCGCUACGCCCCUGAUGAUGUGGCCACAGAUGCAGCGAAACAGGAGAAGUUUAUGGAAGGGCUGAAUGAUGAGAUGAGUAUGCAGUUGAUGGUAGCAACCUUCAACAACUACCAGGAGUUGGUAGAUAAGGCUCUUAUGAUUGAAGGGAAGCAACAGCAGAUUGAGAGCCGCAAGAGGAAGUAUGGACAAGGGAAGUAUAACUCAGGAGCUCAUCAGAAGCCUCGCCUAACCCCGAACUCGGGAGGACUUGUUCAUAACCAUGGAGGUCACAACCACACUGGAGGAGGAUCGCAUAACCACAAUGGUUCUAAGAAUGGGAAUGGGAACGGAACCAACAAUAAUCAUAACCGCCCCAACCCAGUCACACCCGCCAAAAGGGACUUAAGUCAUGUUACGUGUUUCAAGUGCGGGAAGACUGGACACUACGCCACGGAGUGCCCUGAAGGAAAGAAUGGAAAUGGAAAUGGGAGCGCUGGGAAGAAGCCAAAUCCAUUCAAUAAAGGACAAGUGAACCACGUUAACGCGGAGGAGGUUGAAGAGCAGCCGGAUGCGGUAAUAGGUAAGUUUUUGGUUAAGUCAUUUACCGCUCUUGUUCUUUUCGAUACUGGUGCAUCGCAUUCAUACAUAUCAAGGGGAUUCGUGGAUACGUUUAAACUACCAACCCAAACCCUUAGGACCCCUCUUUUACUAAGUUCACCCGAAGCAGAGUAUAUGGCCAGCCGAUGGUGUGACCAGAUACCCUUAACCAUUGGUACACAUGUUUUUCCGUCCGACCUAAUUAUCUUGGAGUCACAAGGACUGGAUGUGAUAUUGGGUAUGGACUGGAUGUCAAAGUUUGGAGGAAGCAUUGACUGUGCUAGUAAGUCGAUUCAUCUCACCACCCCGGAAGGAAAAAGGAUUAAGUAUGUAUCUAGGCAUGUGCCAAGGAGGAGUCAAGUGAAUGCCCUUACGGGAGUUGUUCAGGAGGAAGUGCCUGUAGUGAAGGAUUACCCGGAUGUUUUUCCAGAGGAGUUACCAAGCAUGCCACUGGAUAGAGACAUUGAGUUUUUGAUAGAGCUGUUGCCAGGUCCAGGACCAAUAUCCAAGAGACCCUAUCGGAUGCCCGCAAAUGAUCUGGAAGAAAUUAAGAAACAAAUCAAGGAGUUAUUGGAGAUCCGAAGAAGUUCAUCACCUUGGGGAGCCCCAAUACUUUUGGUUGAGAAGAAGGAUAAAUCCUUGAGGAUGGUUGUUGAUUAUCGAGCAUUGAAUGAAGUGACGAUUAAGAACAAGUACCCACUGCCGAUGAUCAACGAUCUGUUUGAUCAGUUACAAGGAGCUAAAGUGUUUUCGAAGAUCGACUUGCGAUCUGGGUAUCAUCAGUUGAAGAUACGAGAGAAGGACAUACCAAAGACGGUGUUCACAACGCGAUAUGGAUUAUACGAGUACACGGUCAUGUCGUUUGGACUGACUAACGCCCCUGCCUAUUUUAUGAGCAUGAUGAACAAGGUGUUCAUGGAGUAUUUGGACAAGUUUGUUGUGGUGUUUAUUGAUGAUAUCAUGGUAUACUCGAAGAACGAGGAGGAGCACAAAGAGCAUUUGCGUUUAGUUCUCGAGAAACUCAAGGAACACUAGUUGUAUGCUAAGUUUAGCAAAUGUGAAUUUUGGUUGUAGGAAGUCGGGUUCCUAGGACAUGUUAUAUCGGGAGAAGGUAUAGCAGUAGACCCCAGCAAAAUUUAGUCAGUCAUUGAAUGGUUGGCACCCAUUUCAGUUAGCGAGAUCCAUAGUUUUCUUGGGCUCGCAGGAUACUACCGGAGAUUCAUCGAGAAUUUUUCCAAGAUUGCAAAGCCAAUGACUGAACUGUUGAAGAAGGAUACCAAGUUUAAAUGGACAGAAGAUUGUGAAGCAAGUUUCCAGGAGUUGAAGAAACGUUUGACUACAGCCCCAGUGCUAGUACUGCCAGAUAUACAUAAGGAGUUCCAAGUGUAUUGCGACGCCUCUCGCUUAGGACUUGGAUGUGUGCUUAUGCAGGACGGAAGAGUUGUUUCGUAUGCCUCACGACAACUAAAACCUCAUGAGUUGAAUUAUGCCAUGCGUGAUUUGGAGCUAGCAGCCGUAGUGCAUGCGUUGAAGACUUGGAGACAUUACCUUAUUGGAAACCGUUGUGAUGUGUACACGAAUCACAAGAGUCUGAAGUACAUUUUCACCCAGAGGGAACUGAACCUUCGACAGAGGAGAUGGUUGGAGCUUAUAAAGGAUUAUGACAUCAAGCUACACUAUCAUCCAGGAAAGGCCAAUGUCGUAGCAGACGCAUUGAGUCGGAAGAGUUAUGCUAAUAUCCUUGAAAGUAAGGGAUUGCCGAAGGAAUUAGCAGAUGACAUCAUGGAACUUCGAUUGGAGAUUGUUCCUAGAGGAUUUAUUGCAACAAUGGAGGUCCAGUCAACAUUGCUGGACAAGAUUCGGGAAGCCCAGAAAGAGGACAAGGAGAUUGAUGAGAUAAAGGAGAAGAUGAGCAAAGGAAAGGCCAAAGGUUUUCGUGAAGAUGAGCACGAUACCCUAUGGUUUGAGGACCGAGUUUAUGUGCCCAAUAACCAGGAGAUCAGGAAGUUAAUACUUCAGGAGGCCCAUGACUCACCAUACUCGAUACACCCCGGAAACACCAAGAUGUAUUUGAAUUUGAAGGAAUGUUUCUGGUGGACCGGUAUGAAGAAGGAUAUUGCCGAGUAUGUCACCAUAUGUGAUGUAUGUCAGAGAGUUAAGGCAGAACAUCAGAAGUCAGCAGGACUGUUACAGCCUAUGCCGAUACCCGAAUGGAAGUGGGAUAAACUGGGCAUGGACUUUAUCACCGGAUUGCCCAAGACCAAAGUAGGAUACGAUUCCAUAUGGGUAUUAGUUGAUUGCUUAACCAAAGUAGCUCACUUCAUCCCAGUGAAAACCACCUAUACAAGUGCAAAGUUGGCCAAGAUAUAUAUGUCCAGGAUCGUAUGUCUGCAUGGAGUUCCGAGGACCAUUGUAUCAGAUAGAGGAACAAAGUUUACUUUAAAGUUCUGGCAUCAGUUACAUCAGACUUUGGGAACAAGGUUAGAGUUCAGUACAGCUUUUCACCCGCAAACUGAUGGACAGACUGAGAGAGUGAACCAAAUUUUGGAGGACAUGUUGAGAGCCUGUGCACUAGAUUAUGGAUCUAGUUGGGAUGACAAUUUGCCAUACGCAGAGUUUUCCUACAAUAAUAGCUACCAAGCCAGUUAGAUGGCACCGUUUGAAGCCCAGUAUGGACAAAGAUGCAGAACACCGUUAAUGUGGGACGAGGUAGGAAACCGACAGUUGUUUGGACCAGACGUGAUCAAGGAGUCUGAGGAGAAGGUAAAAUUGAUCCGAGACUGACUGAAGAUUGCUUAGUCCAGGCAGAAGAGUUAUGCAGACUCAAAACGCAAGGAGGUAAUCUACGAAAUUGGAGACAGAGCAUAUCUGCGAGUAUCGCCCUUGCGAGGAGUGAAACGUUUUGGAGUUAAAGGAAAGUUAGCCCCGAGAUUUGUAGGACCAUAUCGCAUUUUAGAACGGAUGGGAGAAGUCGCCUACAAGUUGGAGUUACCUGAGGGAUUGUCAGGAGUUCACGAUGUGUUCCACGUUUCACAACUGAAGAAGUGUCAUGCUGAGAUGGCGGAUAUACCAUUAAGAGAUACAGUACCCUUGGAGGUGAUUCAGUUGGACAGUUAUUUGACUUACGAGGAGAAGCCAGUUAAGAUUCUUGAGUUUGCCAGCAGAGUCACCCGAAGUAAGGUUAUCAAGUUUUGUAAAGUUCAGUAGAGCCACCAUACCGAUGAUGAAGCCACCUGGGAAUGAGAGGAUGAUCUCCGCAAAGACCACCCGCACCUAUUCUCUAGCCAGGCGAAUCUCGAGGGCGAGAUUCAACUUAAGGGGGGUAGGUUUUGUAACAUCCCAAAUUUUUAAUUUGGAAUGUUAUACAUAGAUCAUCCAUGCAUAUCAUGUUUUAUUGCUUUCCAUUCCGUAAUCCUCGAAAUCCUAAGCAACUCAAGGACCCACUGAGAGAGUUGGGGAUUUUUCUGUUUUCAUAUUUGAUUUUUAUCAAAUAAUGAAAGGAGGAUUUUGAUUUUAAUAAUUUUUCUCUCCGAAGUAUUUCACAUUAAAUCAAAUGAGUGGAGAUAAUAUGACUUCUCCGAAAUAAUUGAAAUAUUGGAGGAAAAUAUUAAAAAUCAUUUAUUGGAUUUUAUUUGGUUUUAUUCAGAUUUUAUUUGCAUUAGAAAAAUCGCACAUUUUCAAAAUUGUACUUUAGGGCCAAGAAAAUGUUCACCUCGUCCUAAAUAUUUUAUUUAGGCAGUGAAAAUUUGUUUUGGCAUUUUUAGAUUUUUAUUUAUUUUUCUAGGAUUUUUCUUCCGUCGGCGGAAUUAUUUUAAAAAAAAGUUCCCGCGCCGACUGGGCCUAAGGCCCAGCCGUGCCAGGCCGCCGCCGCCGCCACCUGCGCGCGCGCGCGCCGCCGCCGACGACUCGGACAAGGAGUCCGAGCCGGACUCCUCUCCGUCGCCGCGCCUUGCCCCCUCCUCCAAGCCGCCCCGCCCCUGCCCUUUAUAUACCGCCGCCCCGNNNNNNNNNNNNNNNNNNNNNNNNNNNNNNNNNNNNNNNNNNNNNNNNNNNNNNNNNNNNNNNNNNNNNNNNNNNNNNNNNNNNNNNNNNNNNNNNNNNNNNNNNNNNNNNNNNNNNNNNNNNNNNNNNNNNNNNNNNNNNNNNNNNNNNNNNNNNNNNNNNNNNNNNNNNNNNNNNNNNNNNNNNNNNNNNNNNNNNNNNNNNNNNNNNNNNNNNNNNNNNNNNNNNNNNNNNNNNNNNNNNNNNNNNNNNNNNNNNNNNNNNNNNNNNNNNNNNNNNNNNNNNNNNNNNNNNNNNNNNNNNNNNNNNNNNNNNNNNNNNNNNNNNNNNNNNNNNNNNNNNNNNNNNNNNNNNNNNNNNNNNNNNNNNNNNNNNNNNNNNNNNNNNNNNNNNNNNNNNNNNNNNNNNNNNNNNNNNNNNNNNNNNNNNNNNNNNNNNNNNNNNNNNNNNNNNNNNNNNNNNNNNNNNNNNNNNNNNNNNNNNNNNNNNNNNNNNNNNNNNNNNNNNNNNNNNCGCCUCGCCGGAUCGCCGGUUUUUCUUUUUAAAACCGUUCGGUUUUUUUGAAAACCCUAGAUUCGUUUUUUUUCGAAUCGCUGGUUUUUCUUGGUUCUUCUAGUUAGCGGACGUUCGUCCGAACGUUCGUUUUAACGAAUGGUUCUUCGCGCAUUAGAUACAACUAACGAACGCUCGUUCAUUAGUCUAUUCGUCAGUUUUCUUUUAUCGGAUUUAAUCCGCGAUUUUCUCUAAUCGCGAUUUCUGAUCCGAUCUUAGUUUCUGUUUAUCCUUUUGCUCGUUAGUCGGAAUCAGGCGAUUCAAGCGCCUAGAGUUUCGUCUCGAAACCCUCUUUCCGUUUAACCAACUCAAACAAGUUUUCCCUACUGUAAAAUUUGACCUAGUUUCAGAUUAGUAAACGAAGCUUCUCUCUUUCGCUGUUUGAGUUUCGUUGCUCCGUUUGAUUUGAUUCUUUUUGCGAACCAGAGUUCUUAAUUUGAACUUUCUGGUCAACCUCUUUUAUUUGAGUUUUGCUUGUGCAUCAUAGCUUGUUACUUAUGUAUGCUAUUGUUUGCUUGCGAUAGAACACCCGGAGUGUGAAGCGUGCUACUACGAGUCCCUAGGUUUCGUAGAUCGUCAGCAAGGCAAGUAAAACUUUGAUCAUACCCCUUUAUCACCCAGUUUUUAUGCAUUAGUUCCAAUCCUCAAACAUUGCAUGAUUAGGAUUUCAUUAACUUGCGGGUUGGGAAGUAGUUGAUGAGGUAGAACCUAUUGCCCUGUUACAUUCAAACCCUUGGGAGUUACUCUACGCGUUGCUUAUAUACUAUGCUAUGCUAUGCUCGUAGACGUGGUUUGGGUUUGAGUGAUAUCCAUGACAGAUGUGAGAUUGUUAAAUUAAUGGUUCAACUUAAGGUGGCAACUUAAUCAAACAACUGGGUGGAUUGCGGCACCUGGAGUACCCAAUGUUGCCUGUAUUUUUUUGGAAAUCCCGGAGUACCCGUGUGAUCUUCCUAUGGACCGCCGCCCAGGCUCAAAGGGAACUGAGAUGAUUCAUGCUAGAAACUUCCGUGUGCAGCCACAAGCUAUUAUGGGCUCUAGCAUAGUUGAGUAAGUUACAUGAAGCUCUUGAAGAGGCAGAUCAGCAGGUAGUGGGAUGUAGGUUUGGUAUGGUCUGUCCGGAGUAGAGAGUUAAUGUUUUUGAAAGACUGUGUCUCGGUCAUCCGUUUCUCAAACACCCUGUAGUGCGAGAAAUCCAAUGGAGGAGAUCGAGUCUUGUGGGGAAAAGUGUGCAAACCUCUGCAGAGUGUACAAUCUAAUCAUGGUCAGUCGUGUCCCCGGUUAUGGACAAUUCUUGAGUAUCUAGUACUUGGGUUAUCACAUGUAUCUCAUCAUGUUUAAUUAAUAUUGUUGGGUUGUUAAUCACUUUAAUUGGGAUUGAGUUGGAGGAACCUUCUCAAUUAUGUUUCAACUACCAUGAUAGUUAAAUUAAAAUCUAUUCCUUUGUUGUAGGGAAAAAUUGGCUUUUCUCAAAAACUGUAACCAUAGAGAUUUCCACCAGCCAUAUAUGCAUAUAGUGAUAGCAUUAUUCUGUUUCUGCUCUACUGUGUUACAUUGCCAGCAUAUUCCAUGUGCUGACCCGUUUCGGGCUGCAACGUAUUAUGUUGCAGACUUUUCAGACGAGGAGUAAGGUUCGUUAGGUCGUUGCCGUGCAGCUCAGCUAUGUCGUUGGAGUUGAUGGACUCACUUUAUCUUCCAAGCCUUCCGCUGUUAUCGCAUUAGAUGGCCUUAAGCCAUAUUAUUGUAAUAAGUUCUCUUUGGAGACUUUUCGAUGUAAUAAGUGUGUGAUUGCUACUCUGUUAUAAAUCCUCGAGUGCUGUGUGUGUCAGCAUUACCGAUCCAGGGAUGACACUGAAGCAUAGAGACUUGACCAUCUGAGGUCGGGUCGCUACAGCAACCAGGAGAAUCUGCCAGAAAAUUCUAGACUAGGUUCCUAACCAAAAAGAACCAGAUCAUUGACUGUCCAGAUGCCGAAGCCCUAGCAACCUUCAAACACAGCAUCCGUGAUGAAUGGUUAGCACGCCACCUCGGACAAGAAAAUCCGAAGUCAAUGGCAGCCCUUACGGCACUCAUGACCCGCUUUUGCACGGGCGAGGACAACUGGCUGGCUUGUAGCAAAAAUACAGCCAGCGAGGCAGGCCCCACCGAGGCCAAGAACAGCACCGGCAAGCUCCGGCGCCAUAGACAUAAACGCAGAAGCAAUGGCAACAACACCGAAGACACCACAGUCAACGCCGGAUUCAGUGGCUCCAUGUUCGGCCAACGGAAGAAACCCUACAAAAGAAACAACGAAGGACCUUCCAACCUGGACCGCAUACUCGACCGUCCGUGCCAAAUCCAUGGCACCCCGGAUAAGCAAGCCAAUCAUACCAACAGGGAUUGUUGGGUCUUCAAGCAGGCUAGCAAGUUAAAUGCCGAAAACAAAGAAAAGGGAUCACAAAGUGAGGACGAGGAUGAAGAGCCCCAACAGCAGAACACGGGGGGACAGAAGAAAUCCCCCCCCCAAGUCAAAACGGUGAACAUGAUAUAUGCCACACACAUCCCUAUAAAGGAGCGCAAACGAGCACUCAGGGACGUCUACGCGGUAGAGCCAGUCGCCCCAAAGUUCAAUCUGUGGUCAUCAUUUCCGAUCACCUUCGAUCGACAAGAUCAUCCGACUAGUAUCCGCCACGGCGGUUCGGCCGCACUGGUCCUGGACCCAAUCAUCAAAGGAUUCCACCUAACACGAGUCCUGAUGGAUGGCGGAAGCAGCCUCAACCUGCUGUAUCAGGAUACAGUACGGAAGAUGGGUAUUAAUCCCUCGCGAAGCAAACCAACAAAGACUACCUUUAAAGGAGUCAUACCAGGUGUAGAGGCCCGCUGUACGGGCAUAAUCACGCUGGAGGUGGUCUUCGGUUCUCCGGACAACUUCCGAAGCGAAGAGUUAAUCUUUGAUAUCGCCCCCUUCCGCAGCGGCUACCACGCACUGCUUGGACAAACCGUGUUUGCUAGAUUUAACGCAGUGCCACACUAUGCUUAUCUUAAGCUCAAGAUGCCCGGUCCACACGGCGUCAUAAUAGUCAAUGGCACUACGGAACGCUCCAUCCGAACAAAGGAGCAAACUGUCGCCCUAGCAGCAGAAGUACAGAGCAGUCUUCUCAAGCAUCAUCAUAAUCCAGCUGCCGAGCCCCUGGACACCUUCAAGAGGGUCCGGACUAUACCGCAACAGGACAGCGCGGCCCGUCAAGAGCUCGAUUAGCAAUUCGGUCUUCGUCACAGCCCCAAUGAGGUAGUGGCAUUCGCACCACACGUACACAAUUACGCACUCAAAAUUCCAUGGACAUCAACGGAGGCACGAGAUAACCCGGGGUCUACAAUUCGGCCAGGCCGAUCCCGGACACACAUACUUUUACUCCUUUUCUUGUUUCAGGCACCCUUUUUCCGCGGCCCUGAUGUCAAGUCCUUUAGAAGGACCGAAAUGCAACGGAGGCAAGCAACACAGGUGUGUAGGGUAACCUUUAUACGUUCUUCUUGACGGUAUUCAUACUUAUUUCUCAGGACCCGCACAGUGCGCCCUAUUGAUUCCGGCAUGUUAAACGGCCAGAUACUUCUCGCACCAUAUGUACAAGAUACGCCUUGACGUAUCCAUCCAGUUAUAAUAAAAAUGGUUCGUGGCCCAGUUCCUAUGGUUUUCGCUUCUUACCUCGUUUUAUUUCGAUCUGCCUAUUUGCUGCAUCGACACUCUUACAUUUCAUAUUCGCCAGGGGCUACCUAUCGCCCCACAAUACGGCAGCACAGUCCGAACACUUCUUAUAUAUAAGUUUGGCACCCCGAAUUUAGCAUUAUAUGCAUUGGCUUCGAAUCAUAUCUUUUGUCAAUAGUUGGGUUACCCGGCUCCUGUGCUUGCUACCCUACGUUCCACUCCAUCGGCUAGGGUAGUAAAGGGAGAACUACUGCGAUUGUGCCCUGGCUUUGACCAGACGAGCACCUCAGUAGAGAAAGCCAAAAACUGACUGUCAUGAUGCGGCGAGAGCCGGUCAGCUACCCGAGGGUUACAAAUCGUUGGAGAUUUUUUCCGCGUUACGCGAGAGAUCGGCACUUCCCGAUCAGAUGCUGACAAUACUCUGGCUUAAACCAGGGGCUGCGCCCAUGCUUUAUUAUAAAACUCCUAUGGCUAAGUGAGGGUGUUAAAGCCAUAAAGUCUGAUUGCCUUGUUCGUUGCACUAAACAACUCCUUCAGGACCGUGUAAUUGGAUCAAGAUUGUUUAGAUUCCAUCCCGAACACCUUCAUACUAUCUAUGUGAGGGCAGAAGCCGACGACUGGCCAACCCUCAGAUUACACACAACACGGCCGCACAGGAGGAAACAAUUCAAAGCAUAAUAAAAAUACUUCACAAAAACUGGCUUUGUUCACAUGAUACAAAGGCAACAUGAAUACAUUUAUUCAAAUACAAUGUCCCGCGAGCAUUGCGUCGCCGCAAGUCGAGACCCUUCUACGACAUCCUCGAAAUAUCGCUCGGGUGUGCGGUGCUCCUUGCCCUCCGGCGGCCUGCUGGCAACUUCAACAGCGUUCAUCUUCGCCCACCACAUCUUGCAGCGAGCGAAAGCCAUACGGGCACCUUCAAUACAGACGGAGCGCUUGAUAACGUCCAGCCGAGGACAGGCGUUCACCAUUCGCCUCAUGAGUCCGAAGUAGCUACUAGGCAUAGCUUCGGCUGGCCACAGACGGAUUAUCAAAUCCUUAAUGGCUAGUUCGGCCACCCUAUGCAGCUCCACCAGCCGUUUCAGCUGAUCGGUGAAGGAUACGGGAUGCUCUGGUGCCGCAUACUACAACCAGAAGAGCCUCUCCGAAGAGCCCCCUCCUUCGGCUCAAUAGAACUCCACGGCGUCUGAUACACUGCGGGGCAAAUCCGCAAAAGCACCUGGGGAACUCCGAACCCGGGUUAGUAAAAGGUAUCGCUUCUCCGCAUACUUGCUUUGCAUCUUAAAUGCCUUACCCACCGUGAUCUUCUUGGCCUCCUAGAUCUCCUGGAGGGCGGCCUGGGCCUCAUUCCAUGCGGUCUCCGUGCUCUGACGAGCCUUGGCGAGUUUGGUCCGUCGAACCGACGCAUCAUGCUCUAAGGCCUCGCAUUUUUUCACCGCAUCCUGGAGCUCCUAGUGGACUUCUUUGACCCGGGCAUUUAGCUUCUUACGGCGGCUUGCUGCUGGACAGCCUGCUCCUUGGCCUCGCCCAGGGCCUUCCUCAGGGCCUCGACCUCGGUCACGGCUUCUGCACAUAUCACAAUAACGCUGUCAAUAUACAUCGCUUAUCCUUUCCCGAACAUAUAGCAAGUCGUUCCUCACCUUGCCUCUCCUGGAGCCGAACCUUAACCUCGCCGAGCUCGUUCUCGGUCCACUCCAGCCUCCACUUCAGCUCGGAGACCUCGGCAGCAUGCGAGGUCGCGGCCAACAGGCCUGCUUAUUAAUACAUAUUCAGUCAGCCUCUUAUAAUUAAGGAUUGAUCCCCUGUCCGGUCCUCCUCACCGAACACCGGACAACAUCCUAGGGGCUAUGGACUAUACGGGGUUUUUCUCUUUCUUACCUCAAAACCUGUUAACAGGAUGCUGCAGGCUUCAUUCAGUCCGCUCUUGGCGGACUAAACCUUCUCAAUCACCGCACCCAUAAGGAUACGGUGCUCGUCGACGACGGAGGCGCUUCAUAGCGCCCCCAUCAGCUCAUCUGGCGCUCCUGGAUGGACAGGAGCCAUCGGUGGAGGCAACGCACCCCCCCCCCCUCCUUCAAAGGGGGCUGCUCGCCCGACUCCGGAGCCAUAUUGGUCUCCGGAAUCGUAUUCGGCUGAGGGCCGAACUGGAUACGGCCCUCUUUGCCAGUCUUCAUGGGGAUUGACUCCCCCGUGUGUUCGGCAGUGGAGGUCCCCCCUUGAGGCGCCUCCUGGACAACGUCCUGGGCUCCUCCCCUUGGAGCGGUCCUCUAGGAUAACACUUCGGUGUCUUCCCUGGCCCUAGGGGAGUAAGCAGGCGGUGGCGACAUGCUCGCCAUCUUCGAUGGAGCCAAUGAACCUCCAGAUGAGGAUCGCUGGAUAAGGUCACAGGGCGGACUGCAAUAGCGUGGAUCAACCAUGUUAGAAUAAUAAAAGGAAAGGGUUGGUAUGCGCAUGAAUAAGCCAAUGUCACUUACGAUGCGGCCUGGGGCCUAGUAUGGGGGUGACGUUCCGGACUACUGUCAGCGUACCAUGCGGUGUUGACCGCUGGGGCACCCUUCCCCUUUUUGGGCGCUUUCACCUCCAGAUGUGCCAAGGUCACCCUCUUCUUCCUCCUCUCUUCGGGAGGAGGGUUGUUUCCCUCCUCCUCCUCCUCCUCUUGCUCAUAAUUUUCCUCAGGGACAGAGGAAUAGGCCUCGUCGUCUUCGGACAUUGCGUCCGAAGUGCCCUUGCAACGGGGACCACUCUUGGCCCCUUGGCCUUCUCCUUGGCCUUCUUCUCCCGCGUCGUAUAUGGCGUCGGCACCAGCAUCUUCGCCAGGCGCGGGAUGACUGGUUCUUCGGGCAACGGAGCCGGACACUCGAUCCGCUUCACCCUCUCUACCCAGUCCUGAGGAAGCAAUACUAAAAUCUCAGACAUCAUCCUCGAAACAUUUAAGUUGGGAGUACAUCAAAAGUAACAUACCUCGUUGGCGGGGCGGUUACAAUUGUGACCACGGUCUGAGUCCGUGGUCGGUGGCUUCUCGUUGCCCUUAAAGAGCAACUUCUAGGCCCUUCGUGAGAAGUAUUGAAGAGCCUUUUCAGGGUCUGGUGCUUCUUCGAAUUGAAUUCCCAUAAAGAGCGGCUGCGGCGCUGGCACGGAAGAAUCCGGCGGAUUAGCAUCACCUGGAUAACAUCAAUGAGCUUGAUGUCCUUAGUCACCAUGCUUUGAACGUGCGUCUGCAGCGCUAUCAGCUCGUUAGGUGCACACCAGUCCAGACUCUUCUCGACCCAGGAGGUGAGUCGCAUGGGAGCGCUGGAGCGGAAUUCAGCAGCUGCGCCCCAGGUGGUGCCGCGAGGUUCUGUAAUAUAGAACCACUGCUUCUGCCAUUCCUUUACUGUCUUCACAAAGGUGCCUUUGGGCCAUGAGACAUUGGAUAGCUUGCUCUCCAUGGCCCCUCCGCACUCCGCGUGUUGUCCCUCCACCACCUUCGGCUUCACGUUGAAGAUUUUGAGCCAUAUCCCGAAGUGGGGAUGGAUGCGGAGGAAGGCCUCGCACACGACGAUAAACGCCAAGAUGUUGAGGAAAGAAUUCGGAGAUAGAUCAUGGAAAUCUACCCCGUAGUAGUACAUCAGCCCGCGAACGAAAGGGUAGAGUGGAAACCCUAGCCCGCGGAAGAAAUGGGGGAUGAAUACUACCCUCUCUGUGGGCUCCGGUGUGGGGACGACUUGUCCCUCGGCUGGCUGGCGAUGGGCGAUCUCUUUCGCCAAAUAUCCGGCCGCCCGGAGCUUAGUAAUGUCCUCCUCCUUGACGGAGGAGACCAUCCACUUGCCCUGACCACCAGAUCCGAACAUGGUUGCUUGAGUGGAAAGGAGAUGAGAGCUUGGGCGUUGGAGCUUGAGAUCGAAAAUGCGGAGACAGAGAGAGACAGCGUGAGGAGAGGAAGAGGGAAUCCUUAUCCCCUUAUAAAGGCAACAAAUAUUAAACGCCUCCUCACUCGCUUUAGGAUUCGCAUGUUCCCUAGGGCUGUAUAAAUGGCACGAUUGAGUUACCCAUGCCCGCAUUGAUGAGAAUCCCGCAAUAAGGGGACACGAUCUUUGUUUUGACAAGACAUGCCCGUAGCAACCACACCUCAUAGCGUGGAUUGGCUGAAGAAAAACGGUUCGAAAUUAUAACCGGACAGACGCGAUGUCGUGUUGAGAAAAAGCUGUCAACAGAUUAGAUUCGUGCAAAUAUUAUAUUCUCUCUGUGGUUGUGUGUGUGACAGGUCCGGAUACUAUCAUUACAUCCGAGGACUAUCUUGGAGUUCGGAGAAAGGGGAACCCGCCUUGCAAUUCCGAAGACAAUCUGCAUGCCGGACUCCUCGUCAUUGAAGCUAGGUUCAGGGGCUACUGAGGGAGUCCUGGACUAAGGGGUCCUCGGGCAUCCGGCCUGUUAUCUAUGGGUCGGACUGAUGGGCUGUGAAGACAUGAAGGCCGAAGACUGCACCGUGUCCGGAUUGGACUCUACUUGGCGUGGAAGGCAACCUUGGCGACCGAAGAUUCCUUCUUAUGUAACCGACUCCAUGUAAACCCUAGAUCCGGCCACUUGGUGUCUAUAUAAACCGAAGGGAUAGUCCGAAAAGGACACCACAUAUACUCAUUACCAUACCCACAUAGGCUAGACUUCUAGGGUUUAGCCAUUACGAUCUCGUGGUAGAUCCACUCUUGUAACACUCAUAUUCAUCAAUAUCAAUCAAGCAGGACGUAGGGUUUUACCUCCAUAGAGAGGGCCCGAACCUGGGUAAACAUCGUGUCCCCGUCUCCUGUUACCAUCGAUCCUAGACGCAUAGUUCGGGACCCCCCUACCCGAGAUCCGUCGGUUUUGACACCGACAACUGUUUUAUCGGAGAAGGUUAGACCAAAAAAUAGCCUUUCAUGCAACCGCGCGCAGGCGUUUUGGCAGUCGUUUAACGUGCAGACAGCUCCAAAAGUUUCCCUUCCAGACAUGAUUCUUCACCAAUUUCAUCCCCGUUCGAUCCCACGAGAUCCUUGGCUCGUAAAGAAUAGAUUGGGAGUGAAUUUGGCUCAUCUAGAGCCCUUGGAUGAAGCUCAUCAAGAGAGGAGACAAGGGAGGCUCCUAUAUAUGUCAUCCUCAACCCUAGCCGCCGCCUCCAUCCUCACACCAUCUCAUUCAUCCACAACCAUCAGCAUUGCUGCUUCACACCAGAGAAGGAGGAACAACGCGAAGGGAAGAAGGAGGAGGCUCCACCACCAUGAGCACCGCCCUUCAGGCUGGUGAUCUCGCGCCAGUGCCGCCACCAUCGGUGGCACCCCCAUCUCCAUCACCACCGCUGCGGCCACCACCACCAUCAUCAUCAUCACCACCGCCCCGCCGCCACCACCACCAUGUCUCCUUCCUUCAUCGGCUUGAUGUCGGCUUGUAACUUGUCCCUAACCUUUAUGUCUUUGACUGGGUAGUUGUACUAGUUCUUGAGGAUAUGGUUGAACCCUUUAGAUAUCUGUUGCGGUCCAAUAUUAAUUGUUCAUGAUUCGGGUUAGUAACCCUCGUGAAUGUUGGGAGGAGCACUCACUCAAAUUUGUUCCUUGUGCCGUGAAGUAUAUUACUAUCGUUGUGAAGGGUUAGGGUGUUGGGGUAAUUCGAGGUGACAGUAAAAGCCUCGAUUCCUCGCCAUUGAAAUUAAUAGGAGAAUUAUGGAGAACCAUUAGAGAGGCCUUGUCCAUGGGGCAACGCUUAAUUAUCAUGAGUUGUAACCCUAUGGGGGAGGCUAUGAUGGUGGCGUGCAUGGCAUAAAGUCUACCUCGCGUAGAACGUGUACUGUACCCGGCUCCACCCACUUAUACAUUUGGCCAGUUACUAGAGGAUACAAUAGUUUAUAUAUGGUAGUGAUUCUGGAACCCUCGAGAACGUCUUACUACUCAAGCAUCAUCCUUACUAACUUAGUGUCAUUUAAUUCCUGUUUUUACCUUCUUGUAAGUAGUUUAGUUAAUUAUCCCUUUUAUCUUGUUUUCCUAGCAACUUAUCGAGUAGACUGUUUUCAAACUCCGGUUUGGAUGCGUACGUGGCUGCGUGAAAGUGACAACGUAGUUGCGGGGUUUGUGGUGCCUCCCUAUUCGCUCCCUGUCUGUGGGUUCGACACUUUAUUUAUCACACGAAAGUGCUACAACAACCAUGUGCACUUGCAGGUCAUCAGCUCGCCUGGUUGACACAUACCGACGAACAUAGGGCGGGCACCGAGCUGCUCCACGCCCGAUGUCCGCGGUCGGACAAAUCAUGGUGAUGCAGACUCGGAGAAAAGGAGUUGUGUCACAUUGAUGUCGAUGCAAUAAGGCAUGUUCCUGGCGGCGGAUGCCGGGGACUGCUUGCUAAGCUGUUGGGCAGCGUAGAAGUAGGGAGGCUUUGUAUUGAUCUUGCCAGGACCGUGUUUGCACGGACAACGAUGGUGGCGUCACCCCCUCCCCGUCCCAGGUCCCGCCCUGCACAACACCCACUGUCCGCACCACGUUCGCAUCCUACACGUCCGCCGCCACUACCGCCUCCCUUCUUUUUUAGUGGUGCCAUCUCCUUUGCCUUCAUUCUGACGCGACAGUCUUGUCGUGUCGCCGAGUUGAUCUUUCGGGCGUCGGCCUUCAUUAGCUUUUCAUACGGGUCCGUGCGGGGGCGGCGGUAAAAAGGGGCGGGAAUUGGGAUGGUAGAGUAGAGUGUUGAGAAAUAGGGUUUUGCCGCAAAAAAAAAGAGUACAACUAGCUCCAAAGGCGUGGGUGCUGCCUUAGUUUCGGAUGGGCCGGGAGUGUCGAUGUCCCACAUGGCUGGACUCUGCAAAGCCUCCUAGUUUGCUUCUGAUUUCCGAGAUGACUUGUGGACAAAUACAGGACAUCGUUGAAUGGUUUGCGGCGUCCGGACAGCUCGAUCUGGACGCUUGCGGGAGGUUUGGGGGUCGGUGUUGAAGCCAUUAUACUCUUUCCAGAGUUUAUAAGGUAAAUUGUUUUGUAACGGGUCACAAUACCCCGUAGAAAAAUUUCUGAAGAAAUGUCUAUCAAUUAAACAGUCAACGUAUCAUAACAAAAAAGAAAUCCAUACAUAAUCCCAAUGGAAAUUCUUCGGUCAUAUUAUACAGUAAUUUGUCAGUUUCUUGCCCACUGGUCGACCUCAGACCCAAUUUCUUUAGUCCAACAGAGUUCGACCCCGCUCCGGUGGCAGCAUCUUUGUUUGUCAAUAGCAAGGGGUGCAGUGAUCAUUCUUGUCAGAGACCAAAACCCCACUGCAAAAUGGCAUAACCACUAGUUUAAUCCCGGAGCAGAAAGGGCCUGUAAAAGCUGGUAGCACGCUUAACCGCCAAAAAAAGCGGCACAACGGCCGUAUCUUACACUGGAAGCAAAGGGGGUCGUCAGUGAGAACGAAAAUUGGAUCCUGGCAAAACGAAACCAAUGCCAUUUUCAGGUUUUGGGCAGUCAGACAUCCUUCUCUUCUUCUCUUCAUUUUACACGCGAUUUUAGGCAGCCGUUUUGUUAGCCGCCAAAGUUCCUUACCUCAUGCCUUGCCCACAUGGACAUACUCCCUCCAUUCCACAAUGUAGUGCUUCCUCUAUCUCCGUGUUUUAACUUUGACCGUAAAUUUAACUAUCAAGACCGAUUGCGGCAGGAGCAAAAAUUAUAUGAGUGAAUUCGUAUUCGAAAGAAGUUUUCAAUUAUAUAAUUUUUUGUUCCGACGCAGUUGGUCUCGUUGGUUAAAUUUAUGGUUAAAAUUGGACCUCGAAAAGCGCAGGCGCACUAUAUUUUGAAACCGAGGGAGUAGUUCCGCCAACCGUUUAGUUAGGCGACUCAAACCUUUUUCCCAGUCAGAUACACAAUUUUGGCAGCAAUUCUGUUCCAUUCUACACAAUUUUGGCACCCGUUUAGCUAGCCGCCAUAUUUUCUGAGAUCAUGUCUAUCUCAGAUCGUCCAGGCUCGGGUAAAUUAACAAGCACACCAUGGGAUGCAUCAAAAGAUAAUCUAGGCUCGGCUAAAUUAACAAGCACACCAUGGGAUACAUCAAGAGAUAGCAGUAUAGGAUAGUAUAGAUACUCCCUCCAUUUCUUUUUACUCCGCAUAUAAGAUUUAGACAAAGUCAAACUGCACAAACUUUGAUCAAAUUUAUAUAAAAAAAUAUAAACACCUACAAUACUAAAACUAUAUAGUAUGAAAAUACGUUUCAUGGUGCAUCUGAUAAUAUUGAUUUCAUAUUGUGAAUGUUUAUACUUUUUAAUAUAAAGUUAGUCAAACUCUAUAAAGCUUGACUUUGACUAAAUUUUAUAUGCGGACUAAGAAAACAGAGGGAGUAGAUUUAUAGUGUCAUAGUACAAAAUUUGUAAGAGCAGAGAGUAACAGUUAGGAGAACAUUCUCCAAGAAGCCCGACUAAAUAUCUUAAUAAUAAUAAUCGAAUAACAGUAAGCAGCUGUGACACAAGAGGAAUUCAGUAGGACAAAUCUCUUGAUGUAGAAACUUAUCUCUGACCCUUUUACCGAACUAAAAGUAUCAUUCUAUACAUCCCGCAUCACAACUUUUCCAUGGAUUUCUCAGUCUCAGCUUAACCUGUCUCUCUCAACCAGUUUAUUAUUCACAACCCAAUUAGCCAUCAAUCCAAGCCCAAUUUGUUCCCAACUUUCAAAUUUCCCUAUCACCAUGCUCCAAUCCUUUUCGCCAUCGCCACCGCGCAAACGGAUGAUCGAAGACGACGAUGCGGAAAACAGACACCAACCAAUGCAAAAAAACAAGAAAAGGAUAUAUGCACCACGUUCUUCUUUACGCCGGUAGCUAUCAAUCAAGAACUGGUAAUCCACGAACAACAAUGACCACGUACUUUUGUGACGGCGAGCUCCGCUGGCUCUUCCACACCGGCGGCGAGGGGUGCGGCAAGGGAAAGUGAAACCGGCAAUGCUUCUGUUGUCAAAG